rnacentral:lncRNA from 1 species
UUUAAUUAAAAAUAAUUUCAUCCCCUUUAAUCAAUCAAUUAAUUCUAAUUCUUUUCCAUAUUAUAUACUGCAACCAUGUUCUAUUAUCAUUCUCAAAAUGAUCCUCUAAGACCCCAUUUGGAUGUGACUUCCAAGAAAUUAAAAAGUUACUUUUCUAAGUUCAAUAAGAACUUUCAUGCCAAACAAAACCUAUGGCUUAAAAAAUAUAGUUUAAUUUGAAAACCACAAUAACAUUACUUCUUGUAAAAACCCAUUUUGACUUGUAUAAAAUAGUGACUUUGACUUGUGUCUCAGCUUCCAAUUAAAACCAAAAACAUGAAACCAUCCCAAACAAGGCCUUAACUCCAACAUUCAAGAGAAGCUUCAUCUUUCUUCAAAAGCAUUAACUCAACAGCUCUGACCCUUCCUUUCAGGGGAAGUAUUCCCAGUCCUGGGAUUUCUAGGUGGGUAAAGUACCCAGAAGAACCCAUUUCAAGAACCCAUAAACACAAGAUGAAGUUAAACCCACCUCUCUCUCUCUCUCUCUCUCUCUCCACCACAUCUAACAUAUUUUGCAAGACUGUUAAAAAAAAACCCUACUAGUGGAUAAUGAAAAAGCUAGAAGAAGGAUUCCUCUAGUUUCCAAUACAAGUAAUUAUUAAUAUUGGAAUAAUUUUACCUACCCCCACCGUGGUUUUUCAUACAAAUUUCAGAUCAGAUAAUUCCUGCAAUGCAAUGGUCUGUACAGACUUGAUUGCCAUAGCCUAUUAUUGUUCAUUCCUUCCUUCAACAUUAUCUAUACCAACAAUGGCAGAAACCCACCAUGAGUUUGCAGAAGUUCAAGAAAGGGAUGAAGACCAGAUUCGAUUACUGUUUGGCAAGUGGCCGUGUGUUAUCCCAAAGCCAUUGACGUGCAGAACCAUCCAGUAACGGCGAUACCUAUGACACAAAUAAGGGAUUUUGCACUGUGAGGAAGAGAUCAUAUUUUCUGAAGACCCAUAGAAAACCCAUCUAUAAAAGUUUAUGUAGUGUUUUGAGAAUUCCUUUCUGAUAAAAUCAGAGGAGGUAAUAAUACCCUACAGCAUGAAUACUGGCUGAAAACUUGAUGGCCACUUACCUUCUCCCAGACUUCUGAAUGGUAAUCGUUGAGCCAAUCAAUCUCGGCAGUGGAGAGUAGAGAUAACUCAACCAAUUCAUUCUGCAUGACAGAACCAUAAAAUGUUAUUCGGAUUCAUAGAGCAUAAGCACCCAAUAUGUUUGAGAAAUGAUCUUAAAAUGAACUGGGAAUUGGUCCUAGUACAAAUCUGCAGGCCUGCAAAGCUCUUUGAUUCUCAACCAGACCAAAAUUUACAAGGUGUUUACUAGCAAAUCAAUGUUUUACCAGUUUUCUUGUAAGGACAUUGAUCAUACCUGAAUUGGAACAAAUGUGAGCUUUUCAAAUCCCAAAUAUCCGAUACCUCCAAAACGAUUUGGGGUGUCCAUCUCUUUAACACAAAGGAGAUUCUGCAUUACAAGGAAAACUUAGAUCACAGAAUUAUAACAGAAUGCAAAAAAAUCAAGGUAAAGAACACCAAUUACCAGGAUGGAAAAUAGAAGCAACAACUGAAGAGAAAUUAAUUUGCAUACCUCGAUCCGAAUACCAAAGGCAUGGUCUUCAUAAUAGCCAGGUUCAUUGCUAACAAUCAUGCCUUUCUGUAAAGGAGUCAUAUUUCCAAAUCGAAAGCUAAUACUUUGAGGGCCUUCAUGAACAUUCAAUGCAGCUCCUACACCAUGCCCAGUCCCUACCACACAAGAUUAAAACAGAAACAAUAAAUAAGCACAAAUUUCAAUUGAAUACAAACUACUGACAGGGAAAAAUAUUUCAACUGCACAAGUAAACUGAAAUGAGAAGUACCAUGCCGGUAAUCAAGUCCAAUCUUCCACAGAAAGGACCGGGCAAAUGCAUCCAAUACAAAACCAGGAGUAUUUUCAGGGAAUACUGCCUGAUCAAGAGCUAUAUGACCCUGCAAUUGACACCAUCAGAAACCAUCGAACUAACUAAAUUCUUAAACGCCAAAAUUGUUCACAGAACACUGUCAUAUAGUGACUUCAAAUGACAUAGCAGCACAAAUAGGAUGAUCAUAUACUGUGACUGAACCAUUAAAAAGGUCCCACUUAUGGAUCACUGCUGGCUUGGAGUAAUCUCGAAAUGAAAAAGCACUAAUAGUAUAUUCAAUCCAUGACAUGAUGCUAGAAUAUCACAAAGCCAUAAGAUACCUGACAGCCAUUUGUCUGAAUUGUCCAGUGAUCGGUCUUUUUUUUUGGUCAAAAGAAAUUAACCAAAAAAAAAAUACAAUUUUAAAACUAAUAAACUAUUCUAUAUACAAACUAGUGGGACAACAAGAGUGAUUUCCUGUAAAGUAUUAAAGAAAUAACAUAAUUUUAAAUACAUGAACAUGCAUAUAAGCACAUCUCCCACAUGCACAUGGAGGGCUUAAUAGCUUGAAAUUUGUUAGCCAACAAUUCAACAUCAUCCAUUUUCUUUUGCAUACUUUUUUUUAUUUAAGAAAUGUACCAUGAGCAACCGUAAGACUUCAUCUUUUAUUAAAUAGUAUGUGUCCAUAUUAUACAUUUAAGAAAGUUUUAGAAGAUGCAGCACCUGUAAAACUCGGGUGAAGCAUUCUUUUUGCCGUGGAGUAGGUUCGCCAAAAUGCACUGUCCUGGUUAUAUCGGUUGUUCCAUCAAUAUAUUGAGCUCCACUGUCUAAUAGGAACAUUUUCUUCACAUCCACAAUGCUACAACUAUCUGGAUUUGGUUUGUAAUGUAUGAUGGCACCAUUUGCACCCGAAGCUGCAAAAAUCAUUCUAUCCAUGACCGGUGAAGUUGAAAGGAAGAACCAGUACAACAUUUAUCAAAUUAGAGUCCAAAAUAUGGUGAUUAAGCAUCAUCAUUUAUGAAUUCUUAAUGCAGAUUCUGUAGUGGAAAAGAUUUCUCUAUUAAAAGUUGUAGCCAACAUGCUUUUGCAUGACUGCAAGAGAUAUAUCAUAGAAUCAUAGCAUUAUCUUCUACAUCAAAGGUAAGAACAAUGGAUUUAUGCCAAUAUCCAAUCACAUUUUCUGCAAGGAGUGAAAGCAUAAUUGGGAUACUGAUCUUUGUUUGGUAAACUCAAAGAAGAUUUUGUACAUAGGGUCUAACCCAAUCUAAUCCACUAAUUGCAUGAAAUAUAAAUUUCCUUGUUCACUAGGGUGUGAAUUACCACAUUUCCCAAACCAUGCCUUAAAAUUAUGAUGGAAUUUCAACCAAGAUUUGAAUUUAAACUUUUUGUUUGGGAAGUACAAAUUCAUCAAUGCAAUCUAACCCAAUAUUACAAGGGCAAGUACAUUUUAGAACAAUAAUUCCAAGAAAGGAUGAACAAUCUUUUUGGUUCAUCACUGAAAAGGAGAAAGGAAUGGAAAAUGAAAUAAGGGAAAAAAGGAACAAGAACAAUAUUCUUUUUAAAAUGACUUAUUUUUGUUUUGUAAAGCUCUUGUAACAUGAGUAAGAAUAUUGUAAACAUCUUGCCAAGUAAAAUUUUCCCUUAAAUCAAACCUGUUGCAUGAGGACAAUUUGGGUGGCCCCCGUAUUUCACUUUUUGCUCUUCUAACUCAUAGACCAACCAAAAGAACUAAGAAAAUAUCAAAAAUUUUGUCCCCUCCCUUCCCCUCCCCUUAUUAAAGGGAACACAAAAGAGAACAGCCAAAUGUCUCAAAAAUGAAAUCAUAUCCUAAGCCAGUAUGCCAUGAUGCAGGGAUCAGGCAUUUCCAUGACAGGACCAACGAGGCAAUAGCUGAAGAAAGGUUUGAUAUAGCAUCCCUCAUAUAGAUCAUACAUUUUGCAAGUUCUAUUGACACAUUUCCAUAAAUCAAAUUCUAAAAUCCAACUCUUGAAAGAUGAAAAUAACAAUAAUAUGUAUGCAUCUAUAUGUAGAGUAAGAUAUUCUAUUUCCAGUAGAAAGCUUUGAUUUGUUAUCGUUCGUUUGGAAACUUGGUUGAAAGUUACAAGAUCCUUUACCAAUGAUGAAGAAUCUCUGAUAUUGAAAUUGGAUUCUUCAAUGAGGAGAAAAAAUAUAAUGAAUAUAGAAGUUAGCGUACCACUUAUAGUAUCAAAGCUUGUAUCCAAGAAACCAGCCUGCAUAGAACGGAAUUGAAGAAGUUUAUCUGCAACAUCUACCUCUGUCAAUAGCACACCCUUAAGGAUUUCUUCUUCCAGCCAGGACCAAAACUGUGCAAGAGCAGCUGCAUCCCUGAAGAGAAGACAUCACACGACGUGUACUUCCUGAGUUUUUUUUUUUUUGUUAUAUAUAUAUAUAUAGGUAAAAAGGCAAAAUAUAUUAAAAAGCACAUGGAAAAGGCGCAUCAAGUGCACAUGGAGUAUACAAAACGGCUGAGAGGUAAGAGAAGGAAAAACAUACAAACACUACCCAAUACAAAGGCAUGGCCUGAAGACAAGAAAAACAAAUGGCACCCAAGCGACCAACCAACAUGCAGCCAAAACAUAACUGCUAACACCAGGGGAAAAUAGAGUUAGUCUUGACCCAUCCUUCGAACCACUUUUCCCAACUCUAGCUUGAACCCUCGGAAACCACUUUCCGGCUCUUUCUCUCUUUGCCACUUCACUGGGAGUAGUUAAUCAAACUCUCCAACUUCUAAAGCUCCCUAUCAAAACGAGAUGUAGACAAGGGUCCCCCUUAGUACCUAAAGCCCACCCCUCUGCACCCCCCCCCCCCUGUGUAAGACCAUUUUUCUGCCUUCUAACUUCAUCAAAAGAGAGGCAAAUUCCUUCUCAAACCCAUCCACAGGCAAACCCAAAUACUCACUGAAGGAGACAAAAUUCAUGAGUGAAGAAAGAUUUCCAGCUCCCAUCAAGUCCUUGCUAGGGCUUUCCUUUCCCUAAACAGGGAUUUAAUGGAAGGCUCCUGAAAGGCUGAUGAGAUUUUGACCUGUCUAAUGGCCAAUGAGUAUCUAAAAAUCUCCUUAGAAACUCUGAUAGGAAAAAGGAUCUCCUUACAUAAUGCAUCCCAAGGAGAUUACACAAAGAGGACCAGAGAAUUAAGAAUAAACCAGAAAACAUUUUCUGUGAUAAAAAAGUCCACUGGAAUAAAAGCUACAAUGAAAAGCAAUAAGCUUAACUCUAUAGUAGCUCAUGCAGUAUUGACGAUAACUACUAACAAAAUAAUUCAUAUCUGCAAGAAAAAAAUUUCAUUGAUGUUCUGCUCCAAAGGACUAAUUGAGAAAAACAAUAAAUUGAACCAGUAAAUUAAUCCUUACUAAAUGCAUACAUCCUUGAUAGUUUCCAUAUUUAUUAUCCAAAACUACCAUAUCAACUCCAUUUUUAAAACUUAAAUUUUAAGGUACAGUAUAACCAACAUACUGUUUAAACAAAAACAUGAAUUAUGCCAUUAAGCAACAAUAAAUCAAUCCUUUCUGAUUUGCCAUAAAGGGGAUUACAAAAUAAAGCCUAGCUUAUUUAAAUAUUCGAUAUCCAGAACUACCAACAACUAUACUUUUUAAACUUUAAUUUAAGGGGCAUUAUCGUUUACAGUCUGACACUCAUUCCUGAGCUUAGAAACUUAAUAGCUAGAAGUUGAUAGCAUAAAUAAGUUUCCAAAUAGCCGGAGAAAUUCAACACAAAGAAAUCAUGUUCUGGGGGAAUAUUUGAUUCACCUUAGAUGAGAAUUGCGCAUCCCUUCCAAUUCAGCCUGAUUUUUCACAGCCUUCGCCAGCAAAAUAGGUGAAAUCUUAUAAACUCCAGUGGGCACCCCAGAUUGACCAUUGGCGACUCCAUAGGCCUCAGACUUAUUUUUCCUCUUAUUAUCAAGGCUCCCAGAAUACUGGUCACAAGCAGCCUCGUAGGUGUUGACAAUAGCAGCAUUAACAGAGGACGUAUCCAACCAGAGGUGUGCCCCUUUCGCUGCCAAACUGAAGAAGCAAAUCAUGUUUUAGUUAAUGAAAGUAUGAAAUCUGUCCAACCCACUAUAUGUUAGAUAUCAGGCCACUCUGAAAAAAAUAACCCAAUGAUGGCAAAUCCUUGGUGUUAUACACAAGACACAAAUGCAAUUAGCAUCUUUCAUGCACAAAUAUACUUGUUGCUAGUUUUAUUCACAGCCACUAAGUUGCAGUCCAACACCUUGUAUCAGCCUCAGAAAUUUUACACCAAUGGUAGUGUCCUAGCCACAGUUACAAACCUCUAGAGCACAUCCAAAGUUAGAGUCCGGUGAGACUCUGAGGUAUCCACUAUAUAUGGAAAAUAAGCUACUUUCAUAGGUACCGAAGUAGAAUAAUCACUUGAGCGUAACAAUAUGCAAGUGUUCAUCAACACUGCACAAAUUUUGACACUGACAAAAAGUUUUCAGCUCCCAAACUUACUUCUUUAUUUCAGCUAGAAUGGAUUCAUAUGGUCUCAACUCUAUGCCUGCAUUCUUCAAGUGAUCCAUCACUUCUGGGCUGACUUUAGAAUCAUCAAUAAAUAAUUUUGCCCCAUCAAUCUCCACAAUUAAGUAUGCAUACAUAACAGGUGAGUUUGGAACAUCAUUUCCUCUCUGCAAACAAAAUUGAGAGUAUUAUUUAAAUUAAAGAUUAAAGGACCAAAACACAAACCAUUUCUGAAUAAUAAAUCAUAAAAUUUGCCUUUAAUGAAUAGACCGGAUUUAAAAAAAUGAAAUCCCGUAUGCCAUAAAGGCGGUCCUGUAUCCUAGACUAAUUCUCAAGCAGCCAGCUUUGAACUUUGUUAAACAGAAUUUGAAACCAUCCCAGGGAUAGAAGUCGGGGUUAUUAUAACAUAUCUAAGAAAGUUGGUCAGAAGGAUUACCAAGUUUAACAGCCAAGAAACUUCAUCAAGCAUAGAAACAACAAUAGCAGAACAACCAGCAUCAAUGAGUUCAGACCUCAGGGAAGACAAUUUUGAUGAGACAUCUAAACCAGCAUAUGUCAGCUCAUGCACUCUAAUUGGUUUUCUUGGAGGCUCCGGCCUUGAUUCUUUCCAUAUUUCAUCCACAAGAUUUAAAUCAUAUAGGUAAACCAAUUCAUGAUUCUUCUUAGCAAUGGCCUCUUUCAAUUCCUCUGCAGCAUCAGAAGAAAAAAGAAACUGCUCCCUUCACAAAAUCAAAGAGAAGGUGGCAUCAGACAGAAGCAAGUAAAGAAUAAAAAUAAAAAAUAAAUUACUUUACAGCUAAUAAUUUUUUUUUAAAAAAGAAAAAAGGAUAAAAAUAGAUGCAUAAGAGAGAAGAAAAAUGAAUGAAUAAUUUUAAGCCAUCCAUUUGACUCAAAAGCCAAAGCUAUAAGAUAGUGGGCCUAUAAUGUAUGUUAAGCCAACUAGGGUUAAAGCACUAACACUCCACUCCACUACACAGGCAACCUCUUUAAGCUUGCUUGUAGGUUCAAUAAAUAGGGAAAAUAAACAAGCAGCUGGUUUGAACUCAUGGCUCCCCAAUAAUCAAGGUUUUGAAACUAUGUUUGAGCUAACAAAAAUGAAGGUAUACUAACAAAUAGUGCCAGUUAUCAAGAAGGCAGAGAUGAGAAUUUUUCCAUUAACUAAUUGACCUCCACUGGGACCAGCAAGGUUUGUCCCAACUAUUUGGGAUCAGCCAUAUCAAUCAAAGCACAGCUGAUCAAGGUAUGCCAAAUUCCUAGGAAACCAGCUGGUGACAAAAGAGGGGCCUACAAUGAACCUUGAUCAACACUAUUUGGUGCAAAAGGAAAUAAUGACACGCAUAAAGCAUGCUUCUGAAUGCUUUUUACCAAAUCCUGACAUAUGUAAAUGAUACAUCUAACACAGGCUUCAUCUUAGUGAUGAAAAGUAAGGGUUAAAAUCCACAUUUUCAAGGUAAAGAUAGUUAAAAAUAAAAAAUAAAAAUAAAACAUAUACUUCAAUCAGAAGCACAUAAUAACAAGAAGGAGCACCCUUUUUAGGAGGUCUGAAUGUUACUCACAGGAUCAAUGCCAAUUCUGCAACCAGGAGCCAAAACAUCAUUAAGCCAUUCACUGGUUGUAGGAACUCCAUAGUUACCAGCCCGCAUAAGAAUCCAAUUAGAGCUUAACUGCUUCUCUGCCUAGUCAUAACCAAGAGAGAAAAUUACCAAUAAAAUUAAUAUCCCUCAAGCUACAAGAUAUCAAAAUGUUAAUAAGAGAAAAAUAAAUAGAAACUACAAAAAUUUGACAGACCUCCCAAAAGUAAAAUAGAAAUAAAUAAAGCUUUGAGACCAUGAUAUAUAUAGCUAACUCAGCAGAAUGUCUAAAAAGUAAAUUUAUAGUUCUUUUUUCCCAAACCUGGAGAAAAUAACGCCCAUCUGUCCAAAGAGCUGCUUUAUCCUUUGUGACAACAGCAGUACCAGCACUGCCAGUAAACCCUGAUAUGUAGGCCCUCCUCAUAUAACAUUCAGCAAUGAACUCACUCUAGAAGCCAAAAUAGAAGUGCUUCAGAAUUAAAUAUCCAGUUGACUCAACGACGACAAGUACUAUGUGGUAAAUGGAACCAAAGAACAUGAAUCCAGAUAAACCUCCAAGUGGAACUGGAGGCUUAAUUUGUUCCCUUAGAAAUUGAAGGUAAAAAUAUCACUAAACAGAGAUGCAAUUAACAGUAUAAUGGUAAAAAGUAAGACAAGCAUUUUUAAUGGUAUUUCUUAGAAUCCUGAAAAUGAAAAGGAUUCAGGAUUAGGAUGCAUGCCCCAAGCUUGAUUUGCACUAAUCUGAGGUUAGGCUUAAAAUAGAAGUCAAAUGAGGGAUAGACCAGAUCUAUCAUUGGCCACGCAACGCUCAACUUAAAGAACUAUUUGGAUAAAAUUCCCAUGUUAUUAAAUUAUUGGAUUGUGUCAUUGUUGCAUUCAUAAAUUUAUCAAACAAGAACUCCAUGAAAAAUUUAAAAAGGUAUGUGGAAAAAUAAAUAUAAAAACAGACAUCAUGUAAUUCUAUAAGACAUUGACACAAGCCUUUUCAAAAUCUACCAUUAUUAGAAACUCCAAAACACCAAAUUUAAAAACAAUUGCUCAAAAUAGUUAAACCCAAUUAUAAUUCAGCAAUAACAGACCAUUAAAAACCCAGACAAACUGGUAAGUUAAUUAAAAAUAAUAAUAAAUUAAACCCAAUAAGUGAAAUUUUCUCUUUUCGGAUCCCAAGGAAGAAAGCGGUAAAGAUUACAGGCUUUAAUUUCUUCUCCUCAUAUAGUUUUUUUAUUAAAAGUCAAGUAGCUCCAAACCACCAAGAAAAGAACAGAAAAAAUAUAUUGAUGAACCCCCAAAAUCAAAAAGUUCAAAAUAAUGGCUCAAAACACUUAAAAAUGGUAGACAUGCCAAAUCAACGUAUCCUGGUUAAGGUUUUUGCAUGACUUGAAGCUAAUAAAAAGGUUGAUACCAACUGCUUGCUUCAAUUGAGGAGGCCCUACAAAGCUCUCAACCUGGACCAAUAUCUUAUGACUUAUGUGUUUGAAGAGUAAUGAAUCAUUUGAUCAUCUAUUUCUUCAUUGUACCAUAGCAUUGGAAUUUUGGCAUGGAUUGUUCCAUAUUGCUAUGAUUGAUUGGGUACCUCCUGGAGACAUAGCAAAGACAUUAGGAAUCUCUUUUAAAGUCUUUGGUAGCCUGACAAAAAGGGAAGAUUCUGAUAGGUAUCUAAUGAAGGAAAAAUUUAUUAGUGAUAUUAUUGAAUUUCAAGAACAGGGCCAGACUGAUACAAGAUAGCUAUUCGGGAUGCUAUCACUCUCCCCCCAAACUCCCAGAACAGCCAGCUAUCCUGACCAAUUCCAUAUUUUCCUAUUUAAGCUAUUCCAGCUUGUACCAAGAGUGUUACACAGCCUGUACAAGGACUGUUAACACUAACUGCCAGUUUGCAGUACACUUCUCUUCCCUUUUCUGGACUACACAUAACGUAUACGAGGCCUAUCAGAUUCUUUGGCAAUUGGCUAUCUUAUCCUUGAUGUGGUUUUUAUGGUUGGAGAGGAGUGCUAGGAUAUUUAAGGAUUGAUGGAGAUUUGUGGAGGCUAUUUAGGGUUCGAUUUACUCUUUCCAUUCCCUGUGAGCCUCAAUCACAAAGCCUUUUGUUGGUAUUCCUUUGUAUCUCAUAUAGCUAGAUUGGAAGAAUGUCUGCAACUCAAAGAGAUCGAAUAUGAAGACUUAUGAUUGGUUGGUACCCUCUCCUAUAGGUUCAUUAAAGUUAAAGUUUGAUAGGUGUUUUUUGGGAAAUCCUAGGCCAUUAGGUAUCAGAGGAGUCAUAAAAGAUCAUUCAGGAACAGUACUAAAAGUGUGCUCUAAACCUGCAGGAAUGGGUUCAGCUAUUGAAGUGAACAUAUUAGCAUUAUUUGAGGGCCUGGUGCAUGUCAAAGCUUUGUGCCGAUCCAAUCUAACUAUAGAGGGAGAUUUUAAUAUAGUAAUUUCUUUGGUGUCUAAAAAGGAGAGAGGCUAAUAGAAGUUCAAAAACUGGAUCCACAAAAUCAUACAUAUUACUAAUGAGGUGGGAUGCUCCUUCUCUUAGGUUUCUUGUUCAACUAAUGAAUCAUCCAGGCAAGAAGCAAAGCACUUGGUCUCCUGUGUUGGAGAUUUCCUACCCCUUGAGUGAAUAAAGUUUCUUUAGUAUAUAUACACUGUCUUUUCUUUUGUUUAUGUGGAUGAUUUUAGCUUUGGAGCAGCAAUUCUACAUCUUGGAAGGAUUGUUUAUCCUUCUCUGUAUUUACCAUUGAAUAAAUGAAUAUGUUUGUUUCUUAUUAGAAAACCUACAGACAGUAAAACAAGACAAACAAAAGAUUAUGAAGCAAAAUCAUAAAGUUGUACCUAACAAGUGAAGGUGUUUCAAAAUUACAAUUAUGUCCUAUUCCCAUCUUUUUUCAUAAGCCAAAAACUCCCAAUUGAAUUUUAACACUAAUUCACAGACAUAAUCAAUAAAAAUAAAUAAAAAAUAAAAAAUAAAAUUGAUAAGCACCAACAUAAUCAAUAAAAUCGCGAACUAAAAUUCAGAAACAGUGAUUUCUUAUUUUUUUUCAAUCUUUUCUAAGAAACCAAGUGAAUGCCACACAAAGUUCAACAUUAAAGCACCAAUAAAACUAUAAAACACACAUAACAUUCUCUUCUUCUUCGUCUUCUUCUUUGGGAAAAUAAGGGGAAAAAAGCAUGAUGAACCUGAUGACUGAAGCUUCCUGUUCUAUUAUUAUUUCUUUUCUUUUUCCUCAACUUUUCUCAAGACAAUUUCUUCCUUUUCCUACCUUUUCUCAAACAAUCUUUUUCUUUUCCCACCUUUCCUCAUAAACCAAACAAACCCCAAUACAACUCAACAUGAGUAUAGCAUAGUAAAAACUAAAACUUCAUAAUAAAUUAAAAGUUUUUAGUCAAUAAAGAUCAACAAGUACAAUUCAAAAUUUUAAUUUUAUUCCCUUUUCCUUCAUUUUCUAAACAACCAAACACCCCACUCCAAAUUCAACUAAAAAAAAAUACCAUUUCAAUCAUAAAACCCACAAUUAAAAAAAAAAAUGGAAAAGCACACACGCGCGAGUUGAACCUGAUUAGAGGAGGUUCCCCUCUCUGAAAAUUUUACAGUAUCUUUUUUUUUCCCACCUCGUCUCAGAAACCAGACAAACCCGAAUUGAAAAUCGACACCAACACGCCAUAAAAAAACACUACAAUUACACAAUAACUUAAACCAUUCAAUAAAAAUCGUGAUGCAAAAUUCAAAGUGUUAAUUUUUUUUUUUUCUUUGCCAACAUUUUCCGGCCAACCAAACAAACCCCACCAAAAAAUCAACAUGAAAUAGCCAUCAAAACCACAGAACCCGCAAAACAAACUACCGAGAAAACAUGAACUGAACCUGGUGGGCGUCCUGGGAAGGGAUAAUAUACGCAUCAAUUCCAAUUCCGGGCUUCGAGAACAGCUCACGCAGAGAACGAAGCUUCUCAUCCUGCUCGGAAUCGGCAGAUUUCUUCCGAAACUGAGAAGAGGGUUUUGCGGUAAUGGAAGCGCAGUUUCGAACAAGGAAAAUAGGGCGGUUCUGGGAUUUUGGGCAGAAACUGUGGGGACUCUUGAAUUUGUAGAAAAUGGGAAGCGAGUGAGAGAGGAAAUGGAGACAACGGGGAUGCAGCUGAGAAGAACGAGGAGAGAAAGCCGUAGAGAGGGUGAGAGGAGACAUCAGUGAUGAUGCUGUUGACCGCAUGGUUGCUAAUUCAGAGAGAGAGAGAUAAGGCCUCUGCGAGAGAGCCAAGGAUGCAGCACUCCUGGGAGGCGGGGAGAGAAUCCAAGAAAUUUUGGUGUUUGGACAGAGACCCAAAACGGUGCGUUUUGAGGAUGCUCAUAAAACGGUGUCGUUUCCUUUAGUAUUUCCUUAGAAAAAAUUUCCCAAUAUUGUACCCUUUAAAAAUGAAACAAAUAUUAAUUUUGCAUCAUCCACUAACAUAACCAUUAAUGUUUUGAUACAUUGUAUUUGUAUAUUAAGAAAAUACAAAAUAAUAAUAUUUUUAUUUGGAUUUGUUAGGAUAUUUUUCCUAUUUUUUGUUUUCAAAAAUAAAAACUUUUAUAUAAAAAUAAAAAUUAUUAUACAAAAAUAUAUAUACUUAUCUUAUGUCCUUAAAUUUUAAAUUUUAUUUUUAAAAAUAAUUAUAGCCAUGUUUGGCAACUGUUUUUGAAAACAUGAAAAAUAGUUAUUGAAAAUCAUGUUUAAAGAUUGUUUUCUAUUGUUUUAUAAAAUAAAAAUCUAUUUGAAAACCCACUUUUAACAUAUUUUCAAAAUUUUAAAAUAUGUUUGUAAAUGUUUUAUGUCUAGAAAAAAAUGUGAUCAAUUGUAUCAUGUCGUGUAUGCAUAUUUAGUUUUAUUACUUUGCAUUAAAUAUGAUCCCAUUAUAUUUUAAUAUGGUUUUUUUAUAGGGUUUAUUAUACUUUAUCCCCUCGCAAACAUAUACCAUGUUUUGCAUAUUAUCCCCUCAAAUUUAAAAUUGAGCAAUAUAUCAAUCAUGCUUUAUAAUGGUAUGUAUUGUACAUUUUUUGAGUUAUGACAUUACAUUUUUUUAUGGAAUGACAUAUGAUCUUCGCGUUAUUAAAGGUAAAAUUGUCAUUUUUCUCAAUCUGCAAUCUUCAUCUCCCCCGUCAAUGAUUUCUUCUCUUAUUGCAGUUGGUGAAGCCCCAUAUCGAAGUCCUCCCCCUAUUCUUACUUCCCUUCAAAGCCUUAAAAUCUCAAUCCCACAAAGUUGCUACCAAAAACCCCACAUAAAUUCUUCUUGUCCGUUGUUCCUCUUUGUUCAGGGGUUUUUAGUAGCAACUUUGUGGGGUUGGGUUUUAGGGCUUCAAAAGGACAAAAGAAUAGGGGAGGAGGGCCUCAACUUUGGGCUUUACCAACAGCAAUAGAGGAAGAAACGAUUGAUGGGGGAGAGGAGGGUUGCAAAUUAAGGUUAAAAAUAUGAUGAUCCUUGCCCUCACUUCUUAAAAAAUGACCAAUUUGCCCUUGUCACACGGAGAAGAUAUGCCAUUCCCUAAAAAAAUGUUAAAAAUACACAUCGUAUGGAAUUAUAAAGUAUAAAUGGUACAUUAUUCGAAUUUGAACUUGAUGGACCAAUGUGCAAAAUACAGUAUUGGUUGGGGGCAAAGUGUAAUAAACCAUUUUUUAUAUAUAUAUAUUUGAUUUUUUAUUUGUUUAUAUUUUCAAUUUUGGUCAUGAUUAAAACUUUGGAACCUAAAUGGAUACCUAAAAUGUUCCUAAACUUAUGUAUCUUUUGUACAUGGGCAUAAAAGUUGUAAUAGAAAGGAUAACAUUCACUUUACUUUUAUAAAGGUAAGCGCGUUGAAACGCAGCGUUUCGGGAGGGCUCAUACCCACAGUCCCACUUGAGCAGAGUAUCGUGGUGAUCGCCAGAUUCGCCACUGAUCUUCGACCUUGACCUCAACCCCCUGUUGUUGCCUCCGCAGAGCUCCGACCCCACAUCAAUGGCGAUCAUAACUGAAGAAAUCGACGAAAACCCUCGUUCUAAACCGACCCGCGAAACCCCUAAACCAACCCAUAAAACCCCCAAACCACCCCCAACGUCAACCUCACCAAAUCCAUUCUCCUUCUGGUUUUACUUCACUCUCUCAGUUUCUCUUGCCACUUUCCUCUUCUCCUCUCUUCCUUCUCUCUCUCCCCAAGAUCCCAAAUCAUGGUUCCUCUCUCUCCCCACCAACCUCCGCCACCACUACUCCAAGGGUCGAAUCAUCAAGGUCCAGACCGACGCACACCAUCCCCCAUUUGAAGUCUUCACGGUCCAAGAAGGCGCCAAAGCAUCUGAGAAUGUAGUGAUCGUUCACGGUUUGGGGUCUAGUUCGUAUGCCUUUCGCAAUGUUAUCCAAUUUUUGGGGUCCAGAGGGGUUCAUGCUGUUGGUGUUGAUCUCCCUGGUUCUGGGUUUUCUGAUAAAUCGGUGUUGGUGGAGGAAAUGGGAGAUGGUGGGGUUUUAGGGAGGUUUUCGGAGGUUUAUAGUCUUAUUCAAGAAAAGGGCUUCUUUUGGGCUUUUGAUCAUCUUGUUGAAACUGGGCAGAUGCCAUAUGAGGAAAUUCAGAUUCAGGUUUCCAAGAGAAAGAGUGUUAAAGUAUUGGAAUUGGGCCCUGAAGAAAUGGGUAGGGUUUUGGGCCAGGUGAUAGAUUCACUGGGGUUGGCUCCAGUGCAUCUUGUUCUGCAUGAUUCUGCAUUAGGAAUUUAUGCGAACUGGGUUUCGGAGAAUUCGGGUGUGGUGAGGAGUGUGACGCUUGUUGAUACCAUGCUAGGGGCCUCGGCUUUGCCACUAUGGCCACUGGGCGUCCCAGUGGUUAGGGAGGUGGUACUUGGGUUUGAGUUUGUGUUUGCAAGGCUUCUCAACUUGUGUUGUGUGCGAAAGAUUCCUAUUUCAGAUGUGGAGGCACAUAGAGUUCUUUUGAAGGGUAGGGAUGGAGCUAGAGCAGUUGUUGGAACAUGGAAGAAGUUGAAUUCUAGCUUUGAUUUGCAGGAAUGGGGUGAUUCGGAAGGGUUGAAAGGUUUGCCAGUGCAAGUGCUUUGGUCUAGUGGUUGGUCCAAAGAAUGGAGUGAAGGGGGCCGGAAGGUUGCUGAUGCGCUUCCACAUGCUACAUUCAUCACUCAUUCCGGUAGCAGAUGGCCUCAGGUAAUGAUUUAAUAUUUCCUAUUGCCAUUGCCUGAUGUUCAAUGUAUUUGAUGAAACCAUAAGUUUCAAACUCUAGGCUCCAUUUGGCUGAAUAUCAGAUGAUUUGUUCUAAAAAUUUAUAGAUGAGAUGAUUAUGUAAUUAGUUUAAAAUAAUUUGACUUGAGAAUAAAGUGGAUUAAACUCUUGUAUCAAAUGGAUCAUUUAACUACACAUUGGCUUCUGGAGUAGAGUAGUUUCACUGUAAUGCAACUGUGCUACAAUUGAUUGGUGAGUGAGGCUGAUUCUUGUAUGGUCCUGAUUGGGAAAUGGUGUAAUAAAUGGUCCUGAUCAGCUUUACCAGUUAUGUAGUCCCUACAAAAUCAAUGCGCUGCCAGGAGAUCCGGAUCAGUUUCUGAAUGCAACUUCAGUGAAGAAUGACAAUUUGAUAGUUAAAACUGUAUUGCUAAAUGUUUAGGGUUGAAACCAUUGAAGUUUGUUGCUGCAUUUAGAUGUUCUUUGCAUAUUAUGUCCACCAAAAGUAUUGUGUUGGUGACAGAUUUUGGAUUUGCCUUGCCAAUCAUGUCAUCCAAAAUAAUUGAGGAAUGGAAGAUUGUAAAUCUGUAAUAUAGAUCUUUCUGUCCCAACAUUUGCAGUGUUGAUUGAAUUUUGAAAAAGUUGGAAAAGACCAGCAACAACAAUUUUUCAAGCCAGCAAUUAGGUUGGCUGAAUUCUAGCUACUUUUGUGAUGUGAUCAAAAGAAAUGUUUGUGCCGUUUGUUUUAGCCUUUUGGUAUUCUAAGCAUUUUAUAACUAAUAGAUUUUUGGGUUGGCCUGUGGUCUCCUUUUUGACCUUUUCUGUACUCAUGUUUGAAUUCUUUUUUUCUCUCAAGAAAGUCCUCCUUUCCUUUCAUCUUCCCAUUCUUAAUAAAAUUGCCAUCCCUAAGAAAAGGAAGAAAAUCAUUGCCAUAAUAGAUCAUGGCUCCCAUCAUUCUCUUGGAAAUUAUUGUAACAUUUAUCCCUCCAUUUUUCUAGCACUUUAGGGCAUUGUUUUGGUUUCAGGCUGUGGUUAGUUGUUUGUCUUUUCCUUUGCUUGCAUUUGGACCUUUUUGUAUACAUCGUGUGUACUUGGUGCACCAAUUCCAAGUGCUUUUAAUAUAUUUAUUUAUUUACCUAUUUAGAAAAAAAAAACAUUUAUACAGAAGAAACUGUUUCCACCAUUUUUGUUUGACAUGGUCCAUUGUGAAGAGAGGCAUAUCCAUCAACCCACCUGCUUCCUUUUGUACAUUUCCAGUUUUCUAUCCGAUCUCAUCAUUUCAUUUUCUUUUUAUAAGUAAUUUGCAUAAACAUAUGUCGACACAAGUAGUUGGGAUAAGGUGCUUUUCAGUUGAGUUCAUUUUCUGCAAAUGGAUCGCCCAAUUAAAAACAAAGAAAUCAUAACCACUGAUCAAUUCAAUUCAUUUUUAGCUUUUAUACUUUCUUUUGUUGAUUGAGCUAUUGAUAGAUCAGGAAACCACUGCACUAAUCCUAUUACUGGUACAUGUUGUUACAUGUGCCGUUGUCUGCUUGCCAUGUUUGAGGCUCUUGCAUUCUGUAACCGAUGAACAUGACCUGUACAACUCAAAGCCCUUUGCUACCCAAUAUAAAAGACAUGUCAAAACUCCUAUUAUGCUCAUUUCUUUAAUCUAGGCAGAAACAAUUAACUUUGUGUUUGCCUGAAACUAGCAAUCCAUUGUUCUUGUAAUCAUAUAUUUUUUAUUACUGUAGCUCCAAUAUUUUGUGUUUGAUCAUCUCAGGAAGAUGCAGCUGAUGAGCUGGCCGAAAACAUUCUUCGAUUUGUGUCCUCGUUACCAAAAUCUGUCAGACAAGUUGAGGAAGAGCCUGUGCCCGAGCAUAUCCAGAAGAUGCUCGAUGAAGCACAAGGCGGUGACCAUCAUCACCAUCACCAUCACCAUGAUCAUGGUGCCCAUGGUCAUGCUCAUGAUCAUUCAGACGGUUACAUGAAUGCAUAUGGGCUUGGUCAUGGGUGGGCGAGUUGAUCCAUUUCCUACUAACAUUCACAAGUGAACCCUACCAGGCAUGAGCUUCCCUCAGAUCCCUGGGUGUUGCUUCUCUGGUAUCAUACUGUGCCAUUCUCUUCGAAGUUCUCUAUGCCAGAAUCAUAGUGAGAGAGAUUGUUGUUUUGAAGCUUUGAAGCUUUUGACUUAUCAGUGAAUGUUUGUGAAGACCAGCUUAUCUAUCAAAUUGGGUAGUCUUCUGAUUUAUCUUCACUUACAAGUUACAUCUAGUUUGUUGUUUUCUGUACUUUGUAAGUUUGUAACUAAGCUCUUUGGUUGCAAUGAGACACUGGUUGACUCAAGCUUGUCUGGAUUCUAUUAUUUCUGAAAGUGUGAUACCCAUGAUUUUGGAAUGAUUAUGAUCAUCUAUUUAUAUUUAUUUGCUCGGACUAUGUUUGGUUCUGGAAAAAUUGAGAGAAAAUGCGAGGGAAAGAAAAUAUAAAGAAAAAAAUAAAAUAAAAAACGUAAAAUCAAUAACUCAUUUUUAUAUACUAUUUCAAAGUGAUUUCACAUAUUUUAACUACAAUGCUAACUUGGUAGGUUGGUUGGGUUGAUGGUUAAUGUGAAACUAAUAUGAAUUAAAAAAUAAUCAAUUCGAGUCUAACACAAUCCGAGGUAUUUGAUCCAAGGUUAUUUUUUUAGUUUUCAUGUUGUAUAAAUCAAAAUUUAUUCAUAAUGUUUUUCAAAAAAAAAUACCAAUGUAUUUAUAUCCAAUUUCAAAUAGUAAAGAGACACAAUUCCAAAAUAGUAAAAAAAAAAAAAUUACAUAUAUUUUCAAAAAAAAUGAAAAAUGUACAUAUAUGAUUAUAGUUUAUUAUUUAAAAAAAAUCUAAAAAUUUAUGAGAGAAUAAAAAUUUAUAAAUAUUAUAAAAAUAUUAAAUCAGUUGGUUAGAUUUUGGUUGUCUAAACCUUAAUAUAAACUCAACUUAAAUUAAAUUCCAGUUGAAAAAACUUAAUUAAAAGUCGACUCAAGUAUUAAAAAUUAUUUUCUUAAAUUAAAUUCGAGUUGAAAAAACUUAAUUAAAAGGCAAUCAAAGUAUUAAAAAUUAUUUUCUGAGCUCGUCUAGAGAUAGGAUUUAAUAUCAAGUAUUGCAUCCUCAAUUUCACUUUUUUUAAUAUAAAAAUAAAUAAUUUUUAAAAUAUUAGUUUUAAAUUUAUUUUAUUCUAUUUUUUGGUAUUUUCUAUAGUUGAUUCAAACACGAGAAAAUAAUUUUUUUAAUACUUUCUUAAAACCAAAUAUAAUACUACCUUAUGUAAAGUUGAAAUAUUAGUAAUAUUUCAAUUAUAUUUUGGAUAAUUUUUUUUUCUUUAUAAACAAAAAUAGUUUUAACUCAUUAAUCAUAUAGAAGACGUUUGAUAAUGAUUUUAGGAAGUGUUUUAAGUUUUUUUAAUACUUUAAAAAUAAAAAUUUCCCAAGUGUUAAAAAAUGUCAAAAACACUUUAUAGAAUCAAUACCAAAUGUAGUCAUAGUAUGACUCAAAAUCGAAAAAAAUAUUUAAUCAAAUGAGAUUUAUCUCAAAAAGAAAAUCAAUUCAUUAAUUACAACUAACAGAAUUGAUUACGAACAAAUAAGAACAUUUUUAAAAAUAUUGUAGAUAUGGACUUUUAUCUUAUAUCUAUUGAUUAUAAAAAUAAGAAUGACUCUUGUAUUCAUGGAUCAACAUUACAACUAAAUAAUCGUUGACAGAUAGGAGGUUGGCCGCAUUCAUCAACUCUCUUUGUAUUCGAAUGUCGUAGGGCGUUUUGAUGAAUAUAUUACAAGGUAAGGAUAUGCAUUUUUUGUGACAAUAAUUGUUUUUAGCAUAGUUGGUAGCGGUUAAGGUCUUACAAGUGGUAGUAAAGUUAAAGUCAUGAAUUCAAACAUUAAUGGUUUAGUUCGAGGAGAGAUUAUUGGCAGAUUGAAAUAAUCACCCAAUAUAAUUCUUAUAAUCACAAUACACAUCCAUUUUUGCUUUAGAAAAAAGGUCGAUAUCAAGGUAUGAAUCAAUAUAUUAGUAUCAAUAGUAAUAAAAAUACAAGAUGGAUUGAAUAAUUAAUAAGAAAGAUAUGUUUUAUCAAGUUAAGAACAAUUUCAAUGCAUUUGUUUUUUCAAAUAAUUAAUGUAUCAAAAUAUACAAAAUAAUAUACAUUUGAUACUAAGAAAAUGAAUAAAAAAACAAAUUAUUUUUGUAGAUCAUCCGAUGAAUAAAACGAAAUAGACUAAAUACAAACCGAUGCAAAUAAGAUAAUUAUGAUUGAAUCAUUAGAAUGAUUCCAAGUUUCACCUUAUUUAACAUAAUCAUUUGCUUUGAAUUUUAGUUAGGUGUUAAAGUAGAAAUUAUAUUAGUAAAGAAUUCUCAUAUAAGUUAUAAAAAAAAGUUAGAAAAUAUGAUAUCUUAAAAAAUAAAUAUUUAUUUUUACUUUUAAAUAGCCAAUAAAUUAAAUUCAAUAAAAUCCUUGAGGAAUUUUCAAAAUAAUUUCCUGAGGCCCGGUGCACCAAAGGGAUGGUGCACCGGAUCCACCGGACAGUCAAAACGGACGUUCCUGUUAUCGAUAUACCACUUGACUGAAGUAAGCCAGCGUCCAUGUAUCUCGUUCCUUAAAUCCUCUGUUUGGCUCUCUAGAGAAUUGGGGAAAAAAUGGAAAAUUUUUGACUCGAUUCUUUCGGCUCUAUCUGUUGCAGGCAACCCAUUUUCUCGGCGUCCAAACGGACCUCAAAAUGGGAUGUUGCGGCGAUGAAGAAGAGGAAUUCCUCAAACACCUCAUGCCCAACUUCUCUGAAACCCUAACCUUAGGCUCCACCUUCCAAGCAUCCACUUCCGGCGACUCCGACGCCGUCAUUUCUGCGAUGAACUCGCACUUCUCGGCCCUCACCUGCCAGGACGUCCUCAGGGGCAUUUUCGAGAGGCUUCCGGUUGCCGAUCUAGCUCGGGCGAGUUGCGUGUGCCGAGUCUGGAACUUGGUGGCCUCGGACAGAGGGAUCCAGGUUCGAGCUUUUAGGGCUCCGUGGAAAUUGAAGGACGUGGUUGGAAUUCCGAGCUCCGGAAGCUUCUGGAGAGAUGAUAGUCUUGGAAAAUUUGCAAUCUCUCAUCGGUUGGUGCGCGGUGACUCUGUUGCUAGCCUUGCCGUGAAAUACUCUGUUCAGGUAUUGUUUGGUUUUCUAGAAAAUGAAGGAAAAAACGAAAAGAAGCCAAAUGUUCUGGUUGUUAGACUAAUGUAUUUGAUUUUGAUUAUUUUCAAUGCAACUGGAAUAUGGGAUUCGAACUCAGAAUUUUCUUUUUUUUUUCUUUGAUUUCUCAGCUACCAAGCGGACAUUAUCUCUCCAUUUGGUGGUUUAGUUAAUUUAGUUCAGAUAUCAAAUCCGAUUUGGCUGUUUGGCUGCUGAGAUAGCAUGGAAAAGAGAGGAAUUUAGAAUCUUCUAUUGUCCAUUCAUUGCUUUGAUAAUGAAGGAGCACAAAUAAAAUAAAAUAAAAUAAAAUCGCAUAGAAGCAUUUUAACACUAGUAAAAAGAAGGUCUAUGCAAGAUGAUACCAUACUAGAUAUACAUGCGUACUGCAAGAUCAAUGAAUGUCACAACCCACUUCUGCAAUAAUAUUUCGAAUUAGGGAACUUAUAAGAUAGUUGGUGAGUACUGGCUUGCCCAAGUGGUUUACAAACAGAUGCUAAGUGUUUCUUAGGGACCUUAAAAUGCAUGAAAGCAAGCUGUUAUAGCAGAUCAAUGGUCAUACAACUUUGCUUUGGGUCAGUUUGUAUUUGGGAGGGCUUCUUCACGCCUUCAAGUUUGAUUUGGGGGUUUCUAGCUAGCUACACAGUAAGUUGGGUGAAAGGGUAGGAUUGCAUGUCUUGCACUCUUUCAGCCUUAUUAUGAAGGUUAUUACCUGAUGCUGAUACCAUUAAAACAGGGCCCCAGGAGACACAAGUUAAAUAUGGUCCUAACCUUUGGCAUUUUUCAUGAUGUGGUUUCUCUCAAUACUCAAGUCUCUGCAUCUUUUGAUUUCUUUUAUAAGCUAAUUAGGGUUUCUAGCUAGCUACACAGUAAGUUGGGUGAAAGGGUAGGAUUGCAUGUCUUGCACUCUUUCAGCCUUAUUAUGAAGGUUAUUACCUGAUGCUGAUACCAUUAAAACAGGGCCCCAGGAGACACAAGUUAAAUAUGGUCCUAACCUUUGGCAUUGUCCAUAAUGUGGUUUCUCUCAAUGCUCAAGUCUCUGCAUCUUUUGAUUUCUUUUAUAUGCUAAUUGGGGAAUGAUGGUUUUCCAUCCGAGUUGGAAGUAGAUUGAUGGAGAAUUGGCAUGGACAGGCAUACAGUGGAUUGAAUUGAAGAAAUGAUCAGGUAUUAAAUCCCUAGAUUUGUUGAUUAUGGUCCAUUUGGGGCUAGAGCUAGAGUUGUAGAGAAGCCACAAACAAACCAUAAAUCCGCAUGUAGGGAUUUGAGAAAGUAGGGGAAAGAGAGUCUGGUGGAGAACGUCAGAAUAACAAGCUAGGGUUUGUGUGAGCAUUAAUUGCCUCUUUAAGCUUCUUGAGAAAUCUGUUAAGAUGACGCUCUUGGGCUGGGAUGAGUCUUUGUGGGAAAAAAGAGAAGGGAAGUUUGGAGAGCAGACCCUUUAUGUAUUUUUUGGACGGUUUUGAAGACAAAGAACAAAAUUGCAUUUGAAGAUAAUGUGCUGUCCAUUCAAAGACUUAAGAGCUCUUUUGUUUAUUUUCUAUGGUCGGAGACGAAAUUAUUCAUAAAAGAUGGUCCUUUGACUUUAGUUGGUUUCAUUGAUUGGGUGGGAUCUCGAUGAGGGUGGUUUUUUUGGCUCCUCCGCUUUUGAUGGCCGUUUUUUUGUCCCAGCUGGGGUGGGGGGUGCAUCUCUUCUGAAUUUUUUUGAGUUGCUAUUUUAGCGUCUCUUUUCUAUACAAUUUCUUCUCUUUUACUUAUAUAUAAAAAAAAAAAGCUUCUUGAGAAAUCUGGGAAAAGAAAGUUAGAUGAAGAAAGUGGAAAUAAAUCAUUACGGUCAGUAUGAAUGCCAACAGGUAAGAUUGGGGUUUGAGGGAAGAAAAAUGCUCAUAGGAGUUUGAAAGCUAGGGGAAAGAAUGUUGAAAACUAUUGAAAUUGACCUCAGGUAAAACUUCAUUGGAAUAUUGUAUAUAAUACCUAUCAAAAAACAAAAAAAUUGUAAAUAAUAGUAUUGCUACAUGUUAUUCUGACAAAGGGAUUUAAAAUCCUCAAUAAUAGCUUCUAGAUAAAUCCAGCCUCUUGAACUUAUCUAGUAAGCUCUAGGGUGCAACCAUACAAGAACUAAUGCAUCAGAUCCCAUGAGAACUCAGCACAGUGUGCUUGGCCAAGAGUGUUGCUUGGGAGGGACAUCCCAUAGGAAGUCCUCAUUUUGACCCCUUCAAAGUGGAAACGAUAGAAACAAUAAUGUUUUUUAAUAAAUAAAUAAAUAAACCUAAGCUAGUAACUUUCUUCCUUUGCCUGGGUGGUGUCAUCUAUCUACUUUGUGCAGGUGGUCUGGGGUCUGAACCUCCAUGAGACUCCUCCAUGAAGGUGUGUGUAAUAGAAUACCUCCAUUAGUGGUGAGAAUAAUUGAGAGAGAUGGGAUUUUUGUGUUGGCUAGUAAUAGUUAAGAAAUGACUGGAUGAAAUCAAAUUACAGGGUUGAAUAAGUUAAUAUUCUUAUAUAAAUUUGAAAGAUAGAUGUUAAUUCAAAAGUGCAAUAUUUGGCACAGCCUCGUUACUUGUUUUUUGUGUUAUCCCAUUUUUCUUAGAGGCCUUAACAUUGACUGUAGCAUGCUGAAUGAUUCAAUGAUGGAGAUCAGUCUUCCCUGUUGUGGCAACUUUUGUUCCCAUAGUUAUACAUUCCUUGAUUGCACAGAGAUUGAUUUUCUGCUAUCAUUUUCCACUAUUUAGAUUUUCACUUCUUGAAGGAAAGCUUCUUCGUUUACCCCCUUUUGUUGUUAACCAGAAGAAUGCAUUGCUGUCCUGAAAACAUUUUUCUUGUGUUUGCAGGUUAUGGACAUAAAACGUUUAAACAACAUGAUGAGUGAUCAUGGCAUAUACUCGAGGGAGAGGUUACUGAUCCCUGUAAGCAAACCAGAUAUUCUUAUCAAUGCCAUCUGCUACAUAGAGCUGGAUUCCUAUGCAAAAAGGGAAGUAGCGGUGCUGUAUCUGGAAGGUGGGCCUGACAAAAAGCUCAACUCUUUGUUGAAUAAGGUCUCCUCUGAGCAAGGCAGGAGAAGGGUAAUUGAGUCCUUGAAGAGAAGCAUGCAAAUAGAUGAUGGAACUGCCCAAUACUACUUGUCUAUAUCAAAUGGUGACCCUCGAGCUGCAAUCUCAGAAUUCUCUGAAGACCUUAGGUGGGAAAGGCAUGCAGGCCUGUCCUAGUUCAAAAAAAAUAAAUUGUGGAGCUAAGUUAGCUUCUACUGCAGAUUUGUCCGCAUUUUCAUGGGUUUGUGUGUGGUGGCUUUCCUUGCAAUGAUGUCCAUAUUAUUUAUUUUUCUCAAGGGAAUAUAGACUGUAAUUCUAACAUGACGGUUGUGAUCCUAAUGAACGAAGCAAGGAAGUCCCUUGGUGCCAUUUGUCCUGUGUUCAUUCCUUUUACUUUAGCCGAUUUUGUAAAUAUGUGGCUUCUAAAAUGGUUGAUGAAUGUUGUAAAUCAAACACAGAAGGGACCUGUAAUAAUGUUCCAUUUAGUGAACUUUAAACUAUAAGAAUGGAAUUUGUUCCAACUGCACUUGUGAUACUUGUCUGACCAAUGCUUCAAGUAAUGUUGCCAGGUUUAUUUACUGAGCUUAUAAGCCACAAAAACAGGCAUUGGAUUUCAUCUUGCUUCACUACUAGUCAUGGCAGCAGAUCAGCCUAUUGUAUGGGAGCAGCAAAUAACCAAGCUUAUAUGCCAAAGGAUUGGGCCCCUUCUUUGUUUAUCAUAUAUGACAAGCUACAUACAAGGAGUUGAAUGUUUCAACCAGCUAGACAAUGCCAACAAACUCAUGAUCCAUGAAAAGAAAGCCAGCUUUGUUUGGAAUUUGUCCCCAAAUCACAGUUUCCAGGAAGCUCUCUCAGUGGGAAACCUACCUCCAAGGGAGUGUAUCCCUGAUAUUCAUCAGAAGCUCCUCCAAGUUUUAAGGUGACUCCCAAUUGAUUGGGUGGAAUAGGAGAGAGAGAGCGAGAGCGCGGCGGCGAGCGAGAACGUGAUGAAGGGAGAAGGCGAGAAUACGCCGGCGAGGGAGCUGAAGAUAAGGAGGGGCCUUGAAGAAGACGAAGGGGGAACAGGUUCGUAGUGGAGUCCAAGGUGUUCGAGCUUGCGUUAAUAGAGAGAAGAGGAAAACCCCAAAUAUUCAUAGAGGAAAGUAAGGGAGGAGUCUCGUCUUGGGUCAGAGUGGGAGUGGAGAGCUUAGGGUUCCUAAUGGAGGGCUUACACCACUACAUAAUGGACGAGAAAGAAGACAGAUGGGAAAGGGAAUGGAAGGAACAGGGGAAAUCCUACUCUUUGCUACGAAGCCCAAAUAGAGCGGGGUGCUUCCUCCGUCUAGGGGUAACCGACUUGGAACGAAAGCAAUACUGUAUCUACAUCCCAAAAGGUAGAGGAGGAAAAAAGGGAUGGGCUUCAAUGGCGGAAAAUCUACAGCUACUGCGAAGAUCAAUCGACAGAAAGGACAACAUACAAGAAGAAAAGGUCGGUGGAAACUUGGUUGUGAAGAGAACGUUCGCGAAAGUGGUGAAAAGACCGAUCUGCAGAGAUAAAAGCUCAGUUAAGGUGAAGGUAUGGAGGGAGGAAAUCCAUAGAAUCUGGAAAAAUUGGAACAUUGUUUAGUUGGGAGCUGGAACCCUGGGUCAGGCGAUGGAGAAGAUUUGGAGAAAUUGGGGAAAUUUCUGGCGAACUCUUGGGGAUUGAAAGGAAGGUUAGGGUUGGCAAGAUUGGAGAGAAAUAGAAUUUUGUUGGAAUUUGAAUUAUUGGAUGAAGCUCAACGUGCUCUUCUUUCAGGAGAGAGAACGAUGGGAGGGCUUAGGCUGAGAUUUGAGCAUUGGAGUCCAAAGACUGGUUGCAGGGAGGAGGAGGAACAAAGCAAUGAAGUAUGCGUUAGAAUCUUUGAGGUACCAGUCUCGUUGUGGAACCCGACUGUGUUGAGUAGGGUGGGGGAUGAAUGUGGUGGCUUCGUUGCCAUCGAUCCGUAGAUGGCGAAGUUGGAAGAACUCCAAUGGGCUAGGAUUUUGGUUAAGAUGGACGGAGAAGCUAAGCUGAGUAUGUUGGAGAUUGGGGUUGAGGAGGAAGUUUACGCCCUUGUCCUCUAGUGGGAGCUUAGGCCAUCCGUGAAGAAGAUUAGGUUUGACAGUCGAAAAAGUGGGGAGGUUAGGGGUGACAAUUUCUCACGCUCCGGCUCGCGCGUGGAGUUGGAAUCGGUCCUCGAAGUCAGAUGAGGGGACGAGGAUGCAGGAGAGAGGUAUGGGCCGGGAGGUGAUAGCUGAUCGGGCCCAAGAAUCAGCGCCCAUGGGAUCUGUGAGGAGGGCCAGUGGGCUGAGCUCACAAAGAGAAUUUAUGGGCCUAAAGUUAAAGGGAGUGGUGAAUGAAGGUGUUGGGUCAGAGGCUGGGCCAUCCAAGAGAUGGGCUUUUGACGGGAAUGGUUCUAUGCAUGAUGGGGCCAGACCAAUUAAGCCCAUGGCCUAAGAAUUAGUUUUCAAACGGCCCGAGGUGCUGACGUAUUUAGAUAAGGGGUUGGGCUUGCAGGAGAGGAACUUGGGCUGGAAAGGGAUAGCAGACCGAGCCUAGGUGCCAGUGAUUAAGGGCAUAGAGAAGAGAUCAUGUGGGCUGAAUGCAGUGAUGAGCCUAAAACUAAAGGAAGUGGUGGCUAUCUCUGCUGGACUAGAGGCUGGCCAGCCCAAAAGAUGGGCUCAUGAUGGGAGUGGCCCAAUGUCUGAGUUGGAAGGGGCCAGACCAAGUAAGUCCAUGGCCCAAAACAAAGUUAAAAGACCCCAGGAGAAGGAAUGUCUCUUGGAAUGCAGAAUUGCUAGCAAUAGGAGCUUUUCAGAGGGAGAACGCUUAGUUAUUUGGGAAACAGAGGAAAUAAGGAAGAAAAUGGAGAAAGCCAUACUCUCAGCAACAGACAAGGCUCUAGCAGAGGAAGCCAUGAGGUAUGAUUCUGGCCUAAGAAUAGAGGGGAAAAGGGGCUAUGGGUCUUCUCAUCUUAUCCUUUAUUCUUUUGAUCGGGCUCCGGAGAGGGAGUCUUACGAUCACUCUGGGGUGCUAGGGGAAAUAAAUGAAGUUGGACCCGGAGUGGAUGGCAAUGGAUGUUGGGACUUGGUAGAAUUCACUAAGGACAGUAAUUUGGCUAGGGGGGUGGAGUGGGAUUCAGAGAUGACAAAGCCUCAAGAGAUCAGGAGUGAGAAAUAGGACAGAUGGGAGGAAAGUAGCUUGGCGAAGUUUAGUCACUUUUUAGGAGAAAGAGACGAGAAAGAAUUCAUAGCAAAGAAUUGAUGGAGAAGUCAAAAUUUGAAAGGGAAUUGAAGAGGCUAGAGUGCUCAGUUAAUUAUGAGAAGGGGAAUAAACAAAAAGGCCCUUCACAGACAAAUGGGAUCAAAUUGCAAUAGAUUAAUGAAGCUAAAGUUGUUAAGUUGGAAUGUGAGGGGGGCAAAUGACAGGUCCAAAAGGAAAAUUAUCAAGACAUUCAUAAGGAAUAAAAAAGUUGACUUACUGUGUAUUCAGGAGAUAAAAAUUUAGCCAAUGUCGGAGGGGGUGGUGAGAAGUUUAGGCUUGGGAAGAUUCUUAGAUUGGAGGGCCUUGGAUGCGGAUGGGACAGCGGGAGGUCUGUUGAUUUGCUGGGAUAAAAAAUCGCUGGAAAUUGUGGAUUGGGAGGAGGGCCAGUACUCUCUAUCUUAUAGAUUCAAGAAUGUGGAAGAUGAAAUUGUCUAGGUGUUUACGGGAGUCUAUGGUCCUUUCACUAAAGAGAAAAGAGAAUGUUUGUGGGAAGAGAUUGGAGUUGUAAGAGGAAUUUGGGACGAGCCUUGGUGCUUAGGGGGCGACUUUAAUAUUACCCUAUUUCAAAGAGAAAAAAGCAGACAAGGGAGAAUAACUCCGACCAUGAUGAGGUUUGCUUAUAUUAUUGAUGACCUAAGGUUGGUAGAUUUUCCGUUGCAAGGGGGAGUGUUUACUUGGAGCGGGGGCCUUAACAACCAGUCUUGGGCAAGACUGGACAGGUUUUUGGUGUCUCCUAGUUGGUUAGAUCAGUUCAAUGGGGUGCUUCAAAGAAGACUGCCUUGUCCUGUUUCUAACCACUUCCCCAUUCUUCUAGAAGGGGGCGAGCUAAGGAGAGGUCCUUCUCCUUUCAAGUUCGAAAACCUGUGGCUAAAGGUUGAGGGUUUUUUAGACCUUAUCUGAAAUUGGUGGAGGAGGAUUGAGGUAAGAGGCACUACUAGCUAUAGAUUGGCAGCAAAGAUGAAAUAGAUCAAACAAAAACUAAAGGUUUGGAAUAGAGAGGUCUUUGGAAAUCUGGAAGGCAAUAAAAGUUCAGCUUUGCAGCAAAUGGAUUUUUGGGACCGUGUGGAAAGUGAAAGAAGCUUGUCUUUGGAGGAGACAAAAUUAAAAAAGGAAGCAAAUGAAAGCUAUAAAAAAUGGGUCCUUUUGGAAAAAAGUCAUUGGAGACAACUCUCAAGGGAGAUAUGGCUUAAGGAAUGGGAUAAAAAUACUGGAUUUUUUCAUCAGGUGGCAAAUGCCCACUGUAACAAUAACUUCUUGGACAUAAUUAAAGUUGAUGGGGUUUGGCUCUUAGAGGAGCAGGAAGUAAAGGAAGGGAUUGCUAAUGCUUAUCAGCAGAUGCUCUUUGAAGACUCGGGGUGGAAGACGGAUAUUGUGAGGAUUCAAUUAGAUCAUAUCAGCCAGCAAGAAGCAGAGAAUCUUGAGAUUCUGUUUUCUGAAAAUGAGAUCCAUUCAACCUUGAUAGAGAUGAAUGGGGAUAAAGCCCUUGGGCUGGAUGGUUUUACUAUGGCGUUUUGGCAAAGUAGUUGGGAUUUUGUGAAAGGGGAGAUCUUGGAGAUAUUUAAGAAGUUUCAUGAGCAAAGCUCCUUUCUCAAAAAUCUCAAUAAUACUUUCCUGGUUCUAAUUCUUAAGAAAGGGGGGGGGGGGGGGGGGGGUUGAUCUUGGGGAUUUUAGACCCAUUAGUCUCUUUGGGGGGAGGGGCUAUACAAAUUGCUGGCUAAAGUGUUAGCUAAUAGACCCAAGAGAGUGUUAAGCAAAGUGGUAGCCCCAACCCAGAAUGCAUUUAUGAUGGGAAGACAAAUCCUUGAUGCUUCUUUAAUUACGAAUAAAGUGAUAGACUCGUGGCAGAAAAGAAAAGAGAAAUGGCUCAUAUGUAAAUUGGAUAUUGAGAAAGCGUACGAUAGCAUCAACUGGCAGUUUUUGUUGAAGACUUUACACAAAAUGGGAUUUGGCUCAAAGUGGUUGGGUUGGAUGUGGAGUUGUUUAUCUUCAGCUAAGUUUUCAGUUCUAGUUAAUGGGGUUCCAGCUGGAUUUUUCCCGAGUUCUAAAGGGCUUCGUCAAGGGGAUUACUUAUCUCCUUACCUCUUUGUUCUAGGAAUGGAAGUUCUAGAUGCCCUAAUUAGGAGGGCGGUUGCUGGCGGCUACCUCUCAGGAUGCAGUAUUCAGGGUGAUAGAAGACACAAUCUAAAAAUCUCUCAUCUUUUCUUUGCUGAUGAUACAAUUGUGUUCUAUGAGGCUAAUAAAGAGCAUCUAACACAUUUAAGCUGGAUUCUUUUGUGGUUUGAAGCAACUUCAAUGCCUAAGGAUUAAUUUGGACAAAAGUGAAAUUAUCCCAGUUGGUGUGGUGGAGGAGAUUGAGGAGAUGGCAGUGGAAUUAGGGUGUAGGGUGGGCUCGUUGCCUUCUCAAUACUUGGGCUUGCCAUUAGGGGCUCCUAACAAAGCUCAUUUUGUUUGGGAUGGGGUGGAAGAGAAAGUGAGGAGGAGACUAGCACGGUGGAAACGACAAUAUAUCUCCAAAGGUGGGAGAAUCACUCUCAUAAAGAACACCUUGGCUAGCAUGCCAAUCUAUCAUAUGUCUCUUUUCCAGAUGCCUAAGUCAGUUGCUAGAAGAUUAGAAAAAGUUCAAAGAAAUUUCCUUUGGGGAAGGGGAAGCGUGGAAAGGAAAGCUCAUCUAAUUAAGUGGGAGAUGAUUUGUGCAGACAAGAACAAGGGAGGGCUAGGCUUAAGGAAGCUAGUACUCUUGAACAAAGCUUUGCUUGGUAAAUGGAUUUGGAGAUUCGCUUGUGAUAAAGAUAAUCUUUGGAAGCAAGUGAUAACGAUGAAAUAUGGGCAAGAAGGUCAUGGUUGGAGAGCAAAGAGGGCUUAUGGGGCGUUUGGAGUAGGGGUGUGGAAGGAAAUUUUGAAGGAAACUGAAUGGUGCUGGGACAACAUGGGGUUCUUAGCUGGGAAGGGAAGCCGAAAUUAAUUUUUGGACUGAUGUUUGGUGUAAUGGUACAAGGCUGUCCCAAAAUUUCCCUCAUCUAUUCGCUAUGGCUUCCCAUAGGAAUGCUACGGUAGAGGAAAUGUGGGAUCAGAAUUUCGGUCAAGGGGUUGGAAUCUAAGAUUUUUGAGGGAUUUUAAUGAUUGGGAGUUGGAUAUGAUAGGGGAUUUGCUCCAUGCUCUGAGGAGUUACAAGUCUUCUAUGGAGGAAGAUUCAGUUUGCUGGAAGGGAGGAAAUAAUGGAAAGUUUAGGGUCAAAGAAGCGUAUAGAUUGUGGGUCAGUACCAAUGAUAUUGUUUUUCCGUCAAGAUGCAUUUGGGUAGAUUCAGUUCCAACCAAGGUUGCAUUCUAUGCUUGGGAGGCUACAUGGGGGAGGGUGCUCACUUUUGAUAGGCUCCAGAAAAGAGGAUGACAGCUUUCUAAUUGUUGCUUUCUGUGUGGAUGUGAAGAAGAAACUGUAAAUCAUAUACUUAUUCACUGUAUAGUGGUCAGAGUACUGUGGAAUAUUGUCCUUGGGUUAUCAAGUGUGUAGUGGGUCUUUCUAGAAACUGUAAAGGAGGUCUUAACUGGCUGGAGAGACCCUUUUGUGGGAAAGAAAAGGAAAAAGAUAUGGAAGUCCAUACCGUUGUGUAUUUUUUGGACGGUUUGGAAGGAGAGGAAUAGACUAGCUUUUAGAGGGGGAGUGUUAGAUAUUCAAAAGCUUAAGAAUUCUUUUGUUUGUAGUUUGUGGAGUUGGGCUAGAUUAUAUAUUGGAGAGGAGCAUCUAUCCCUUAUAGGGUUCUUGGAAUGGUUAGCGUCCAAUUAAGGGGUGGUGAGACUUUGUUGGUCCUCUUUUUGUUUUGAGAGGUGGUAGUUGCUUUGUAUACCCCCUGUAUACUUUGUAACUUUCCGUCUCUAUUUUAAUACAAUUUGCUUUACUUAUCAAAAAAAAAAGUUUUAAGGCGACUCCCUAUCCCUUGAGCAGUUUCUAUAUAUAACUUACGUUAGUUGUGGAGAAUUUUACCUGUACCAUCUAAGAAUAGGUUUUGCCUUGUUUCUGUAACUUACAAAUAAAACCCCUUCACCCAAUUACUCCUCAUGUUUUCUUUUGUUGCUUCAUUCUGAUUCUGAUAUGGUCUCUUUAGUAACUUUCAUCUAAACCGAAAUGAAAAGAGAAUAUAUUAAACUCAAGUCAAUUCAAUGUUGCACCUCAUUCCCCACAUGCAACUGUGCUUUACAGCAGUUGUGCUGAGGCAAUGCUUGUAUUCCAAGCAUAUAUUCCUAGCCCACUCAAGGUCUUGGAUUAAACAGAAAGGGUCUGGUUGGAGUUGGUAGAUAUACAGUUAGAAUCUUCUUGUUCUACUUAUAUAUGUAAACAAAAAUAUGUCAUAUACCAAGCCAUGACAAUAUAUUAAACAAAAAAGAGAGAAUGAAGCAGUGGGUGGGAGUUGGUUUGCAAGUGACUUUUUAGGUUGUGUUUUUGGGGUUGCUGUUGGAUGGCCUAGGGUCUAAGUGUUCGGCUUUCCAAAGAGUGGAUGAGGUAGUAGUGAGUUCCUUUGGUUUGUUACUCACCCAAGUGUUUGUAAAGUCUGGAGUUUUUCUGGGUUGUAGGGUGAAGUCUUUUGUUUUGGGUAUUGGUUUGUUGUUUCUCUUUCCUUUUACUUGUAUUUGCCUGCCACUUGUACACUACGUGUGUACUUUCUGCGCCUUUUUCAAGCACUUUUAAUAUAUUUGCUUUAUUUACCUAUCAAAUAUAUAUAUAUUAAACAAAAUAUGAUGUUCUAAGAUAUGAAACCAAUUAUAAAUGGUAUGAAUGGCAUCCCAAGAUCAACAAAUACACUAUGCUCCUUUCUUUUUUUGCUUGUGUUUAUUUUGGUUUUCAUUAAUUUAUGUAGAAUUCUUUGCACGGUUGGGAGAUUGUUCAGAAUGUUUAGAAGAAAUAAUAUGUAAAUCCAAUAAUUAAAAUUAUCUCAACCUAAUCCAAUAUAAAAGAUCACAAAAUCCAGUAAAAAAAUGUUAUAUACCAAGCCAUGACAAUAUAUAUUAAACUAAAUAUAAUCUUCUAAGAUACGAAACCAAUUAUUAAUGGUAUAAAUGGCAUCCCAAGAUCAACAAAUACAUUACUCUCCUUUCUUUUUUGCUUGUGUUUAUUUUUUAUUUGAUGCAGCUUAAGUCUACAUGGUGCAGGGAGCAAUACUAUGAAUUGAUUUAUUCAUCUAUUUGGUUUUCAUUAGUUUUUGUAGAAUGCUUUGCAUGGUUGGGAGAUUGUUCAGAUGUUUAGGAGAAACAAUAUGUAAAUAGAAUAAUUAGAAUUAUUUCAACCUAAUCCAAUGUAAGGAUCAUAAAACCUAGACUGACCCCACCUAUUAAAUAAUGCUCUCAUGGCUGCCCCUUAGUUAUACUUUUUUUUUUUUUGAUAGAUAAGAAGAUAAAUAUAUUAGAAAGGGCUGCCAAAAGAGCAACCCAUAGUUGUUAUAUUACAUAUUAAACAAUGCUCUUAUGGCUGUCCCAUAGUUGUUAUACUACACAUUAAAUAAUGCUCUUAUACCUGUCCCAUAGUUAUACUACUAGCAGGUCAAAUGUAGGUUUAGCAACUAGCAUAUUUCAUAUUAGCAGAAAUAAAUUGCAGAUUCUAAGAGAUAUAUGAUAUAAUUUUGUUGAGUAAAGGAAAAGAAAACAAUGAAAAAGGGUAUACUGUUAGCACAUUUACCAUUUCAUAAUGCUAAUGCUGAUCAUCAAGAGGUAGAAAAAUAGAACUUCAUGUGAAACUGGUCAUGCUUAGCUUCUGGUCCACCAUUUUAUUGUUAGUUGUCACCUUCCAUAACAAGUUAAGACUGUUAGUUGAUACAGUGAAAACUCAACUUUGGUCACAUUGACCAGAUUCAAAUUCUACGAGCUUGUGCUUGUGAUAAGUAUCAAAUUAAAGAUUAGAACACGUCACUUGAUGGUGCCAGUUUUUUUUUUGUUUUUUCACGCAUGUUCAUAUGCACCAGGUCAAGUUCACACUAGAUUAUCUAAUACUCAUUUUCUAUUUUGAUGCUUGUUUUACAAGUUCUUCUAAUGACUAGAUGGUAGUUUUGAGAGGAAGAAAAUCUUGCCUUUGAUAGAAGUAGAACCAAUGUUUUAUGCAUUUAAACUCCUGGUAUAUUGGAAAUUAUUAGGUGCUGGGUUAGGAUCCUCAUUAGAGAUAAGAAGACUUUAUUUCCACUUGUAUUGAACACUAUUAUAUUCAAAAUCCAGACCUCAAUGCUUACGUGGAUUUCGGAUUUCAUAAUGAAGUUAUUGAAUUCAGGUUAGGCAGGAUUAGGUUUGUUUCAACCUUAUACAUGAUGGAAACCAAUGAACUUAAUUGAAUAGAUGGAGUUGGACUUAAGUUGGCUUGACAUCCCAUGUGGAAUCCUUAGCUUUAAGUUGGUCAAGAAAAGCCAUCACCCGUAGGCCUUGUCCCAAUGGGCAAUUUCUAUUGACUUUCUUACUUACCCAGCAGGAAGGUCAUGUUUGAAUUGUUGGAAUAGUGGGCCAUGUCCCAAUUGGCAAUUUCUAUUGACUUUUCUUACUUACCUAGCAGGAAGGUCAUGUUUGAAUUGUUGGAAUAGAGGAUGGGGAGGUGAAAAUCAGCUCUAUCUAUUAUAUCUUUUUGAGCUUUAAUCCUAACACCCCUCACAUACAACAUCUCUAGAUUGAAUAGAUUGAAUUAAAUUUGAGUUGGCUUGGCAGCCCAUGUAUGCCCUUCAGCCCUGAAUUGGUCAAGAAAAGCCAUCACACAUUGUCUCACUCUGCAAUUGGGAGAUGAUAUCUUUGCCCAUAUGUUCUAAUAGGAAUAAAAUAUUGUGAUUGUUGUGAUUUCUUACAUGAUUAUCUACCAUUCUGAAUUGAUCAUUAGGAAGACCACUUCCCACAACCAACUUCAUCUUUCUGGUAUGGGUCAAUUUGAAGGUCUUAAGGAAUGGGUCCAAGCCUGGAAAUUGGAAACCCUAGCACAAGUUGCAGGAUAAGGAUGAGAAAGACAAGUCAAUAUGAAAAUGGAAACUGGGUUUUUCCUGAAUCGCUUAACAAAAAAGAAAGUGACCACCAAUUUCAUGUUGAAUUGGAGCAUUUCUUAAAGUGGGGUUCAUUCAGAAGAUGCAAAGUCUAUGGGAAUAAUGACGUAGUGUGGUGUUCAAGAAAGUGACAGCAUAUGUGUUUCUUGAACCCUAAGUUUACACGGAAAGGUUUAUUUUGGUGUGGAAUUGGGCUUUUUUUUUUGGCGGAAAACUGGGUUUUCAUUUCUAAAAUUUCCAUAAUUCUAAGUUUACUUUUAGAUUUUGAAAAUUUUUAAGUCUUAAAAAGAGUUUAAAGAAAAUAAGAUAAUUUUCUACUUUUUAUUUAAGAGUUUUUUUAUUUUAUGUAAAAAUUUAUUUUUAAAAAUAAGAAAAAAAAAUCUAGAUAGUUAAUGUUUUUUUUUUAAAAAAAUUGUUCGGUAAUUUUAAGUAUUUACGUCUUAACUUUUAAAAGAAUGAAUUAUUUUUAUAAGAAAAGAAUAAGAUCAUUUUUGUUAAAAUAUAGUAAAAAAAAUGACGGAGGAAUAGUUAGAUUUUCAAAAUUGGGUUUUCAAUUACCCUUUUAAUCAAAUAAUCCAUAUAUAUAUAUAUAUAUAUAUAUAUAUAUAUGAUGAAAAUUAAUUAACUAAAAUGGUCGAAUUAAAACGUUCAACAUUUGCUAAUUUGGUGGAAAUAUUAAUAAAAAAUAGACCAUUGAUUUGUUUAUCGAAGCAAGAAAAAAAAAACACUUCAUACAUUCGAAUGAGAAAGGAAAUUACCUAAAAUGUUCGAAUUGAAAAGCUACACCAUUUGCUAAUUCGGUGAAAAUAUUUGCUAAAUCGGUGAAAAUAUUAAUGAAAAAUAGACAAUUGAUUCAUUUUAUCAAACCAAAAAAAAAUAAAAAACGCGUCAUUUCAUACAUUUUCAUGAGAAAGAAAAAUUAGUCAACUAAAAUGGUCGAAUUAGAAAGCUACACCAUUUGCUAAUUGAUUCGGUAUACCAAAGUAAGAAAAAAAAACACUUCAUGCAUUUUCUUGAUUUUCUCAUGUACCCUAUGAUAAUAUGGAAAAUUAUUUCAUAAACUCAUUUUAUAUAUAUCACAUUUUUUUUUUCACUUAUUAAACAAAAAAAAUACAAAUGUUGGUUUUGACUUAAAUUUUGGCUUGGAAGUUAAUUUGGUUACAUGAAAAAUAUUAAAAUAUUUUUGAAAAAGGAAAAUUUUCAUAUUGAACAUGAAUUAAUUGAAUGAAUCAUGGAUUCAUGAUAUUAUUAAGUUAUUAACUAAAAAUUGCAAUAAUUGAGAAAUUCUUGAAUAGUUUGUUUGAAGUCACAUUCUAGACUUCUAGGGUUUAAGAUUUUCUUGGAAUUUGGGUGGUUUCUUUACCCUCAAGCUAUGCCAUGACCAUAUUUGCCUGAUUCAAUAAAUUGAAAACAAAUGAAGGAAAUAAAAAGAUUAUAAAAAGCCCAUUAAAAUUGGACCAAUACUAAAUUAAUUGCAUACCUUGUUUGAAUAUUGUGCUACUAUACUAUUUUUUAUGAACAAGAGGAAAUGACAAUUAUGAACAUGGAUGUAAAUAAAAUAAAAUACAUAUUUUAAUAUAAUUUUAUUAUUUUUAAUCAUAUUUUUUAUUUAAAUAAUUGUUUUACUAUUUUUCUCGCUACAUUACUAAAUUGGUAUCCAAUAAAAGGAGAAUCGAUCACGACAUGCGUUGCUCUCGUUGUUUCGUACCUAAUUUGUAUCUUCAAUCUUAUUUAUUUAUACUUAUUUCAUUAAAUAUACCUUGAUCUUAUAUAUUUAUACUCUUAUCCAAUCACUUAAAUUUUAUUAUGUAUCUUCAACGAUUGAAAUUAUGCAUUCAGAAGGUACUAGUUUGGUACUUACGAAUUUUCAUUAUUUUUAAAACAAAAGGUAAAUUGAUGUUUGGUAAGAUGAAACAAACCAAAAAAGAAAAAGGAAAAAAAAAGAGAAAAGAAUAUGCCAAAGACAAGAGACAAAAGCAUGAUUCCAAUUCCAAAAGGGUUGAAAGAUUUAAUCAUGUUUCUUAUCCACAUAACUAUUUUACUAUUUUUCUCGCUACAUUGUCGAAUUGGUAUCUAGUGAAAAGAGAAUCGAUCACAACAUGUAUUGGUCUCGUUGCUUUGUACUUAAUUUGUGUUUCAUUAUUUUAUACCUUAGUUUGUUUUUUUUUUUUUUUUGCACUUCAAUCUCAUUUAUUUAUAUUUAUUUCAUUAAAUGUACAUUGAUCUCAUAUACUUAUACUCUCGUUUAAUAACCUAAAUUUUAUAAUAUCUUCAAUGAUGAACUUUCAACGAUUGAAAUUACGUGUUCAGAAGGUACUUAAUCGGUACUUGUGAAUUUUCAUUAUUUGUAAAGCAAAAGGUAAAUUCAUAUUUGGUAUGCAUGAUGUGCAAACAUGUUUUAUAAAGCCAAAAAAAAAAAAAAAAAUGCCAAACAUGGGACUAAAGCAUAAUUCCCAUUCCAAAAGGGCUAGAGAUAUAAAGUUUGGAACUUGUUAUAUCAAGGCUGUACUAUGUAAGACCCACCAAAGCAGCCAUGUGAUGAAUAAGUGACAACUCCUUCAUUUAUGAUAAAAUAAAGACACCAAUUCAAAUAAAUAAAUAAAUAAAAUAUAAUAUACAUAAGAGGUAAUGCAUUAGAAGAAUGGAGGGAUCAAGAAAGGCAGCCCAACCAGCCAAUGGAAAAUAGUCAAAAUACCUAGUCUAUUCCUCCAUUUUUGGCCUUCAAUAAACCCUAGAUUCCCUCCCUCCACCCCACACCUUUUUCUUUUUAUUUUUUAAUUUAUUUAUUUAUGAUUAUUUUUAGUCUAAUUAUCUAUAAAAUAACAAUAACCCACAUUAGAAAUCAUUUUUUUUUUCUUCUUCUGUAUCUUAAUUAGCUGAAAUUUAGAAAUUACCCAUAUGUUUUUUUUAUUAAAAAAAAAAAAACCUUUCUUGACUGAAGUUUCUAAAAAUAACAACCAUGUAUAUAUUAUUAAUUCUAUUUUUUAAAGAAGGAAAAGGAAAGUUUCUGAAUAGAAAAAGAGAAGCUUCUCAGAUAUUUCAUGUUUGAUUUUAGGCAUUUUAUACGCGUAUGUUUAUGUCUAUAAAUACAUGCACCACCUGAGCUUUUCUUCAUAUAUUCUUCUCCUGCAUCCCUCUUUCUCUCAUAUUCUUGGCUUUCUUUUGCUUUGCUGUUGUUAUUGUUGUUGUUGUUGUUGUUGUUGUUGAAGAAGAAGAAGAAGAAGAAGAGAUGAUUCAUUCAAUUGUUGGUGCCAUUACUGGCGAAAAUGAUAAGAAGAAGAUCAAGGGAACUGUUGUGUUGAUGAAGAAGAAUGUGUUGGAUUUUAAUGACUUCAAUGCAUCGGUUCUGGACCGGGUUCAUGAGCUGUUGGGACAGGGAGUCUCUCUGCAGCUCGUCAGUGCUGUUCAUGGUGAUCCUGGUGAGUUUUUUAUUUUAUUUUAUUUUUUUAUUUUUUUUCAUGUUUUUGAUGAUGGGGUUAUUGAAGUUGGAGGAGAGGAGAAUGAUGCCGUUUUGUGAGGGGUGAGAUGGGUUUUGAGUUUUGAUGAUGGGAGUUGGAAGAAGAUGUGUUUUUUGGAAGAGGUCAAGAGGGGUUAUUCUCAGAAAUUGAGUCAAUGAGUUUCUUGACAUCUUCCAUUCAACUGGGCACUUUUCUAACUGCUUUUGUUUUUUGUGUUUUGUUUUUAAUGCUUUUGUUUUCUACUUCUUUCUCUUGUUUAUAUUUCUUUUCAUCAACCACUAUACAUGCCCACCUAACUCAAUAUGAAAUUCCCAUGCAGCUGCCCUUUUUUUUAAGCCACUAGAUCUUGGGUGAUUUUUUAGUCUUAGAUCUUGGGUUAGAUUUCCCCAGAUUUCACAAAAGUUGAAACUGAAAUUCAUAAAAUUUUUGAGGAUCACUCCUGUUGGAGUUAAAGAGAAAGAAUUGCCAUAAACCAAGGAGAUGAAUUGUUGUGAAAUAUUUCUCAAAACUUCAUCAUCAAAUACCUGCCAAAACAGCCACAGUUUCUGAAAUUUCAUGCAGCAAAGCCACUGCUGCUUGUAGCAAGUCCAAGCUCAAACAUAAAAGCCUUUUCAACCCAGUGAUUUUUGAGAAUAACAUGUAAAAAUGCAGUGACCAUCUGUUAGUGAUGAUAUUGAACUUGUGUGCCUUUUGUAGCAAAUGGGUUACAGGGGAAACUUGGGAAACCAGCAUACUUGGAAGACUGGAUUACCACAAUUACUUCUUUAACCGCUGGCGAGUCUGCAUUCAAGGUCACGUUCGACUGGGAUGAGGAGAUUGGAGAGCCAGGGGCAUUCAUAAUUAGAAACAAUCACCACAGUGAGUUUUACCUCAGGACUCUCACUCUUGAAGAUGUUCCUGGACGUGGCAGAAUUCACUUUGUUUGUAAUUCCUGGGUCUACCCUGCUAAGCACUACAAAACUGACCGUGUUUUCUUCACUAAUCAGGUAAGACUAAUUUGCUUGAUACUAGGAGAGUCUGCUGUGGCAUUGUGGCCCAUUGAGCUUAGGCAAGGAGAAUUGUCUGCUAAAGGAAUGUGUUUAUUUUAUCUGCUGCAGACAUAUCUUCCAAGUGAAACACCAGGGCCACUGCGCAAGUACAGAAAAGGGGAACUGGUGAAUCUGAGGGGAGAUGGAACCGGAGAGCUUAAGGAAUGGGAUCGAGUGUAUGACUAUGCUUACUAUAAUGAUUUGGGGAAGCCAGACAGGGAUCUCAAAUAUGCCCGCCCUGUGCUGGGAGGAUCUGCAGAGUAUCCUUAUCCCAGGAGGGGAAGAACUGGUAGACCACCAUCUGAAAAAGGUAGAUAUUUGAUACACAAAUUCAUAUUGUUUUCUCAUGCUUUUAUCAUAAAAGGAUGAAUAUGAUUGAUUUCUGCUCUUCUUUUAAUUAACAGAUCCCAAAACUGAGAGCAGAUUGCCACUUGUGAUGAGCUUAAACAUAUAUGUUCCAAGAGAUGAACGAUUUGGUCACCUGAAGAUGUCAGACUUCCUGGCUUAUGCCCUGAAAUCCAUAGUUCAAUUCCUUCUCCCUGAGUUUGAGGCUCUAUGUGACAUCACCCCCAAUGAGUUUGACAGCUUCCAAGAUGUAUUAGACCUCUACGAAGGAGGAAUCAAGGUCCCAGAGGGCCCUUUACUGGACAAAAUUAAGGACAACAUCCCUCUUGAGAUGCUCAAGGAACUUGUUCGUACCGAUGGGGAACAUCUCUUCAAGUUCCCAAUGCCCCAAGUCAUCAAAGGUACUGCAUACAUCUAACAUCUUGUAAUCUUUGAAGCCAGAUUUAUAUAUUUAUUUUUCAUAAAAUUGAUGACGUUUUUAUCAUGCUGGAGCAGAGGAUAAGUCUGCAUGGAGGACUGACGAAGAAUUUGCUAGAGAAAUGCUGGCUGGACUCAACCCAGUUGUCAUCCGUCUACUCCAAGUAAACUACAGCUUCCUUUCAAAUAAUUUUUAAUGCCCUGUUUGUUUUCUGAGAAAAUGGAACUUGGAAAGGCUUCCAGACUUUGUUUUCUUUCCCUCCAUCUACUGUUCUAGCUCUUUUCUGAUAAUUAUUGGCUCUUUCUACUUUGUUUGAAGGAGUUUCCUCCAAAAAGCAAGCUGGAUCCUGAAGUUUAUGGCAACCAAAACAGUUCAAUAACCAAAGAACACAUAGAGAAUCACCUGGAUGACCUUACUAUAAACGAGGUAACGCUCUUAGGUUCCGUUCUUUCAAACUAAAUUUUUCAAUGUCGACAUGUUAAUUUUUUGCAUUGGAACACAAGCCAUAGUAACUGAAAAAUGGUGCUUUUUACUAGGCAAUGGAGAAGAAGAGGCUAUUCAUAUUAGAUCACCAUGAUGUUUUCAUGCCAUACCUGAGGAGGAUAAACACAACUUCCACGAAAACUUACGCCUCAAGGACUCUCCUCUUCCUGAAAGACGACGGAACUUUGAAGCCACUGGCGAUUGAAUUGAGCCUACCACAUCCUAAUGGGGAUAAAUUCGGAGCUGUCAACAAAGUAUACACACCAGCUGAAGAUGGCGUUGAAGGUUCCAUUUGGCAGCUGGCUAAAGCUUAUGCUGCUGUGAAUGACUCUGGCUAUCAUCAGCUCCUCAGCCACUGGUACGUAAUCUCCCAAAGGAAAGUGCGUACAGUUGGGGCGUAAAUCUGAAGCGGGUUAUGAAUAUCUUUGAUGUUGGUUGCAGGUUGAAUACACAUGCUGCAAUUGAGCCAUUUGUGAUUGCAACCAACAGGCAGCUCAGUGUGCUUCACCCAAUUCACAAGCUUUUGCAUCCUCACUUCCGUGAUACGAUGAAUAUAAAUGCAUUAGCUCGACAAAUCCUCAUCAAUGCUGGUGGAGUGGUGGAGAGCACAGUUUUUCCAUCAAAGUAUGCCAUGGAAAUGUCAUCUGUUGUUUACAAAGACUGGGUUCUCACUGAGCAAGCACUUCCUGCUGAUCUCAUCAAGAGGUAUAUAAAUACUGUUAGUGAUUGUUUUCUUUCCUGCUGUGCAAUGAAUCUAGUGAAAAUUGUGAUUUUCAUCUAACUGAUAUGCUCCAACUUGGGCACUCUUUCAGAGGAAUGGCGGUUGAGGAUUCAGAGGCCCCUCAUGGACUCCGCCUACUGAUAGAUGACUACCCCUAUGCUGUUGAUGGACUUGAGAUCUGGUCAGCUAUUGAGACAUGGGUGAAAGAGUAUUGCUCAUUCUACUACAAGACAGAUGAGAUGGUCCAGAAAGACUCUGAGCUUCAGUCCUGGUGGAAGGAAGUCAGGGAAGAGGGUCAUGGCGACAAGAAGGACGAGCCUUGGUGGCCUAAAAUGCGUACUGUCAAAGAGCUGAUAGAAACAUGCACCAUUAUCAUCUGGGUGGCUUCUGCUCUCCAUGCUGCAGUGAAUUUCGGGCAGUACCCUUAUGCAGGCUACCUCCCAAACCGCCCAACGAUAAGCCGCAGAUUCAUCCCUGAAGAAGGCACUCCUGAGUAUGAAGAACUCAAGUCCAAUCCUGAUAAGGCUUUCCUGAAAACAAUCACUGCCCAGCUGCAGACCCUUCUUGGCAUCUCCCUUAUUGAGGUCCUUUCCAGGCAUUCUUCCGAUGAGGUUUAUCUUGGACAGAGAGACACUCCUGAAUGGACCCUGGACACAACACCAUUGAAAGCUUUUGAGAAAUUCGGAAGGAAGCUGGCAGACAUUGAAGAAAUGAUCAUAGAUAGAAAUGGAAAUGAGAGAUUCAAGAACAGAGUUGGGCCUGUGAAGAUACCAUACACACUGCUCUACCCCACAAGCGAAGGUGGGCUUACUGGCAAAGGGAUUCCCAACAGUGUCUCCAUCUAAAUUUUCCUGGAAAAUCAUGAGCACACUGCUGAUCAAGAUGGCUUAAAUGCACAUUGCUAAUAUAGUAUACUGUAAUUUAUAAUACCUAUUUUUCGACUUUGUAGGAUUCAUAUUGAUGCAUAUAUUUAUAAUAAGGAAUUAUUUAUUGCUAGAAAAUUGGGAGCUUUUCACUUUUUUUAUGAUCUGUGCCACACUUAAUGUUAAAAGAUGAAGGUGAAGUAGCAAAACAGUUGAUCUGAAUGCGCAGCCAUUGAUAUCAGGAAUCAAAGUCAGAUGGUGCAAAUGCUCUCAAAACAUCCACCCUCCCACAAAAUUAUCUAUAAUUUACAUGUUAACAAGAACUCAAGAGUGAGUAAGAAACUAUGUUGAGAAAUACUUUCUGAAACCACUGAGGAAAGUGUCCAUUUGAAGAAGUGUGAGACUCUUACCUAAGAAGUGUCUGUAGAUUUGAAUAGUAACUGCCAAUAUCUCUAUCAAAUCUUUAUUAUUACAUGUAUUAGAUUUUGAUAUGAUGCUUGGAUAGUAUGCCUAUAAACAAAUGCAUCCCCGAGCUUCUUCUUUGUAUAUUCUUCUGCUCUCACAUUCUUGGCUUUCUUCUGCUUAGCUUUGUUGUUGUUGUUGAAGAAGAAGAGAUGUUUGUUCAAUUGUUAGUGCCAUUACUGGUAAAAAUGAUAAGAAGAAGACAAGGGAGCAGUUGUGCUGAUGAGAAGAAUGUGUUGGAUUUAAUGACUUCAAUACAUCGGCUCUGGACCGGGUUCAUGAGCUCUUAGGACAGGGAGUCUCUCUGCAGCUAGAAUUUUGACUCGUGUAGACAGACAUAGAAUCAAACUGAAUUUAUUGAUCAUUACAUAAUUGGAUUAAGAGCUAUAUAUUCUUCUUGUUGAUCAACAGUUAUCUUCAAGGGGUAGAAAAACAUAACUUCAUGUGUGACUGGUCAUGUUUAGCUUCUGGUCCACCAUUUCAUUGUUAGUUGUCACCUUCCAAAACUAAGUGAAGACUGGCAGUUGAUACAGUGAAAACUUCACAUGCUCGCACUUCACUCUUCACACUAGCUUAUCUACUACUCAUUUUCUACUUUGAUAUCAUCUUGGUUUUCAAGUCUUCUAAUGACUAGAUUGCAAUUUCAAGAGGAAGAAAAUCUUGCCUUUGAUGAAGCCUGUUUUCAGCCUUUUAAGUAUUAAGUUGUUUGUUUUUGUAAUAUUUUGUUUAUAUUAAAUAUUAAAAAAAUAAAGAAAAAGCAAAAUAUUUGAUUUUUUUUUUCUAUUUAGCCAAAAACUAAUAAUAAGUCAUGAAAAAAAUGGAAAAACAAACAAUGUAAAGUUUGAAAGCAAAUUACUUUCAGCAAAAGAUUAAAAAAACAAAUACCCUCGAAGUUCGACUUAAGUUGGCUUAACAUCGAUCUCAUGUAGACCGGGAUCCUUAGCUGGCCCAUGGCCCAUAUCCCAUGUCCUAAUUGGCAAUUUUUAUUGACUUUCUUACAUUCCUUGCACUAAGGUCAUGUUUGAAACGUUGGAAUAAAGAAUGGGAAGGGAAAAUCGAUUCUAUCUAUUAUAUUUUUCAUUCAUUCAUGUGUUCGGAUUGUUCUUAAGAACGAAAAUAAUAAAAAAAUUCACUAUUAUGGAAAUCAAAUGCUACUCUCAUUAGGAUUUUUAUUCCUCUUUUCUAAAUGCCAAACGUGUCUAAAUUGAAUAGAUUGAGUUAAAUUUGAGUUGGCAUGGCAGCACAUGUAUGUCCUUUAGGCUGAGUAGGUCAAGAAAAGCCAUCUCACAUUGUCUCACCAAGCAAUUGUGAGAUGAUAUCCUUACCCAUAUGUUCUAAUAGGAAUAAAAUAUUAUGAUCAUUGUGAUUUAUUACAUGACUAUCUACCAUUCUGAAUUGAUUGUUAGGAAGAGCACUUCCAACAACCAACUUCAUCACUUUGGUAUGGUCAAUUUGAAGGUCUUAUGGUUUGGAAAUUGGAAAUCCUAUAUAAAAAUUUUAUUUUUAAAAAUAAAAAAUAAAAAAUAAAUCAAAAUAGUUAUUUUAAAAAUAAAAAUCAACAUGAAGGUGGAAUAGUUCUCUUUCCUUAUAAUAGGUGGAAGGCAAGUAACACCCAAAAAUAAAUAUACAAGGAAAAUUAGUUACAUUUGAAAGCUACAUCAUUAAGUAAUUUGGUAGAAAUAUUAAUGAAAAGUAGGCAAUUCAUUCAUGUUUCAUCAAAUCAAGUGGAAAGCUGUAUGCAUUGUUGACUAAUUUGCUGGAAAUAUUAAUGAUGAUUGAUGUUGUUUACAUAGACAUGUGGUUGUAUUGAUGGUUUGUGUGAGACCAAACAUUUUUUGGGUAUUGCAUGAAUUUGUGUUGCACCUGCAUAGUUAUAUAAAUAGCAAUUCGGUAAAUGUUUGAACAAAAUAUGAUCGAAAAACCGUCACAACAAAACUUCUACAAUACAUCUCAUUGCGGCUUUUAUUAUAUAGUAGAGAUAUGAGUAAGAAUAAAUGACGAUUUCUAUGGCCUAUAAUAUUGAGAAAGCAAAUAAGAAAAUUAUGUGGUUCGUAAUUAUUAGGCUAUUAAAUAUUUUGUGCCCCUGCGACCAAAAUUAUAACCAUGGAUGUAAAUAAAAUAAAAUAAAAACAUAUUUUAAUAUAAUUUUAUUGUUUUUAAUCAUGUACAUGACUAUUUUACUAUCGCUCUCACUACAUUAUCGAAUUGGUAUUCAAUGAAAAGAGGAUUGAUCACAAUAUAAGUUGGUAUAAUUACUCAGUACCUAAUUUGUGUUCUAUUAUUUUAUACUUUAAUAUCUUUUUUUGUACUUUAAUCUCAUUUAUUUAUAUUUAUUUUAUUAAAUAUACCUUGAUAUCAUAUAUUUGUACUCUCAUUUAAUAUCCUAAAUUUUAUCAUAUAUCUUCAAUGAUCGAUUUUCAAUGAUUGAAUUAUGUGUUUAGAAGGUACUGAAUCGGUACUUACUAAUUUUCAUUAUUUUUAAAGCAAAAGGUAAAUUGACAUUUGGUAUGUAUGAUGUGCAAUCAUGCCUCAUAAAGCCAAAACAAAGCAAAGAAUAUAUAUAUAUAUAUAUAUAUAUAUAUAUAUGCCAAAGACAUGAGAAUAAAGCAUGAUUCCAAUUCCAAAAGGGUUGAGAGAUUUAAGACCCACUUUAUAGAGCAACCAUGUGAUAAAUACACCAAUUGAAAUAUAUAUAUAUAUAUAUAUAUAUAUAUAUAAUAUACAUAGUCCAUUCCUUCUUUUGGCCUUUAAUAAACCCUAGAUUCUCAUAUACCUUUUUUUUUUUUUUUAUUCUAGUUGUCAGUGAAAUAACAAUAACCCAUUAAAUGGAAAAUACAUAAUUCAUAAUAGAAAUCAUUUUUUUCGGUUUUCUAUCUUAUUUUGUUGAAAUUAGAAACUACCCAUUUUUUUUAUUAAAAAAAAGAAAAAAAGAAAAAAAAGAAAAAUCUGUCUCGACUGAAGUUGGUCAGUAUAGACUUGCAGCCAUGUGUAUGUUAUUAAUUCUAUUUUUUUUUUGAAGGCAUAGGAAAGUUUCUAAAUAGAAAAAGUGAAGCUUCUCAAAAACGUCAUAUAGCAUAUGUGCGUAAAAAAUACUUGCACCACCUGAGCUGCUUCUUCAUACAUACUUCUCCUUCAUCUCUCUGUCUAUCAUAUUCUUGGCUUUCUUUUGCUAUGUGGUUGUUAUUGUUGUUGAAGAUGAUGAUGAUGAUGAUGAAGAAGAAGCUUCUUUCAAUUGUUAGUGCCAUCACUGGGGAAAAUGAUAAGAAGAAGAUCGAGGGAACUAUUGUGUUGAUGAAGAAGAAUGUGUUGGAUUUUAAUGACUUCAAUGCACCGGUUCGGGACCGGGUUCAUGAGCUUUUUGGACAGGGAGUCUCUCUGCAGCUCGUCAGUGCUGUUCAUGGUGAUCCUGGUGAGUUUUUUUUUUUUUUUUUUUCCUUCAUGUUUUUGAUGAUGGGGUUGUUGAAGUUGGAGGAGAGGAGGUUGAUACCGUUUUGUGAGGGUGAGAUGGGUUCUGAAUUUUGAUGAUAGCAAUUGGAAAAAGAUGUGAUUUUUGGAAGAGGCCAAGAGGGGUUGUUAUUCUCAGAGAUGAGUCAAAUGACUUUCUUGACAUCUUCCAUUCAAGUGGCCAUUUUUCUAAGUGCUUUUGUUUUUUGUGUUUUGUGUUUUUUGUUUUGAUGCUUUUGUAGCAAAUGGGUUACAGGGGAAAAUUGGAAAACCAGCAUACUUGGAAGACUGGAUUAUCACAAUCACUUCUUUAACCGCGGGCGAGUCUGCAUUCAAGGUCACGUUCGACUGGGAUGAGGAGAUUGGAGAGCCAGGGGCAUUCAUAAUUAGAAACAAUCACCACAGUGAGUUUUACCUCAGGACUCUCACUCUUGAAGAUGUUCCUGGACGUGGCAGAAUUCACUUUGUUUGUAAUUCCUGGGUCUACCCUGCUCAGCACUACAAAACUGACCGUGUUUUCUUCACUAAUC